CCUCCACCAGUGUUCACUGGAGAAAACUAUCACAUUUGGAUAGUUAAAAUGAAGACUUAUCUUCAGGCACACGAUCUUUGGAGUGUGAUUGAGAAUGAUGCUGAACCACCUCCAUUGAGAGCCAAUCCCACCAUUGCACAGAUGAGGCAGCAUGCUGAGGAGCGAGCCAAGAAGCAUAAGGCUAUGGCCUGCUUGCAAAAUGGAGUCUCUGAUGUGAUAUUCACUCGCAUCAUGGCCUGUGACUCACCAAAACAGGCCUGGGAGAAGCUGAAGGAGGAGUUCAUGGGGACUGACAAGACAAGGCAACAGCAAGUGAUCAACCUCAGGAGAGAUUUUGAAAAUUUGAGGAUGAAGGAGUCUGAGACCAUCAAGCAGUACUCAGACAGGAUAAUGGCCAUUGUCAACAGCAUUAGGCUCCUGGGAGUGGACUUCACAGAGAACAGAGUUGUUGAAAAGGUUAUUACAACUCUCCCUGAGAAAUUUGAGCCUAAAAUCUCUUCACUUGAGGACUCGAGGGACUUAUCAGCCAUUUCAUUGUCUGAGCUGAUAAACUCCCUGUAUGCACUUGAGCAAAGGAGGGCAAAUAGGCAGGAGGAGAAUCCUGAAGCUGCUUUCCAAGCUAAAGCCAGUGAAGGCUCAAGCAUGAGUGCAAAAGGCAAGAAGCCUUGGCACAAUAGAAAGGCCAAGUCAGGAAGAGAUGAAGCAAAAAGGGUGUUUCCACCAUGUGUUCACUACAAGAAGACAACACAUUCAGAAAAAUAUUGCUGGUUUAGGCCAGAUAUUCAGUGCAGAAAGUGCAAGCAGUUUGGUCAUGUAGAGAAGGUGUGCAAAGGCAAACCAAGGGAGGCUGCUCUACAACAAGCUAGACCAACUGAGGACAUGCAAGCUCAGGAGGAGCAUGUGUUUACAGCAACCUGUUUUGUUGGCACAACAAAAACCAGCAAUGAUUGGCUACUAGACAGUGGAUGCUCACACCAUAUGGCAGCAGAUGAGAAGUUGUUCAAGGGCUUAGACAGAAGCUUCCACUCUAGGAUCAGAAUUAGAGAUGGCAAGCUGAUUGAGGCUAAGGGCAAGGGCAGUGUACUGGUUAGCACUGGUUUAGGUAACAAGCUGAUCUCAGAUGUGCUUUUUGUACCUGACUUAGACCAGAAUUUGCUUAGUGUAGGCCAAUUAGUUGAAAAGGGCUAUACAUUGGUUUUUAAGGAUGGUUGUUGUACUGUUCAAGACAUGAAUGGUCUGGAGUUAAUCUCAGUCUCCAUGACCGAUAGAUGCUUCAUGCUGGAUGUUAGCCAAGUAGAAAGAAAGGCAUACACCAGCCUUGCUGACAGCACUGACUUGUGGCAUAGGAGACUAGGCCAUGCCAAUUUCAGAUCGCUUGAUCUGCUACAUAGGCUGAAUUUGGUUGAUUGCAUUUCAAAAGUUGAGGUUAGUGGGAAUGUUUGUGAGGUUUGUCAGCUUGGUAAGCAGGCUAGACUGCCUUUUCCUGCUGACAGUGCUUGGAGAGCUCAAAACAAGCUCGAAUUGGUGCACUCUGAUGUUUGUGGUCCUAUGAGAACACCUUCAAUCAGUGAGAACAGGUACUUUGCCCUGUUUAUAGAUGAUUUAACAAGGUUGUGCUGGGUCUACUUCUUGAGGCAAAAGUCAGAAGUGUUUGAAGCCUUCUGUAAAUUCAAGGCUUAUGCUGAAAAUCAGUCAGGUUGCAAAAUUAGAGCUUUGAGGACUGAUAAUGGCUCUGAAUAUGUGUCUGAGAGAUUUCAAAAGCUUUGUGACAGUGAUGGGAUUCAUCAUCAGCUCACAACAGUCUAUACUCCUCAACAGAAUGGAGUCUGUGAGAGGAAGAAUAGGACUGUGCUGAACAUGGCCAGGUGCCUCUUGUUUCAAGGCAAGCUUCCAAGUCAGUUUUGGGCUGAGGCAGUUAACACCUCAGUGUAUCUACUCAAUAGACUGCCAACUAGAGCAGUCAAGGAUAAGACUCCUUAUGAGGCUUGGCAUAGAGUUAAACCUGUAGUAACACACUUGAAAGUGUUUGGUUGUGUGUGUUAUGCUCUUGUUCCAGUGGAAAAGAGAACCAAGCUCGAGAGCAGGGCCACUCCAGGAAUCUUUGUUGGCUAUAGCAGCAACAAGAAGGGCUAUAGAGUUUAUGAUCCUAUAGCAAAGAAAGUCUUAGUCAGCAGGGAUGUAAAAUUUGAUGAAGAAAAGGUGUGGAAUUGGAAUAGUGUUGAAGCUAACAUGUUUGAAAUGGAUUAGUUGGACUUGGUUGAUGAGCCUACAGAAGAGGAACCAAGUGAAGAUGCUGUAGAUGACACACCAGUGAGGGGCACCAGAACUUUGGCUGAUGUCUAUCAGAGGUGCAAUGUUGCUGUGAUUGAACCCUCAGACUUUGAAGAGGCUGCCAAGGACAGAAGCUGGAUGGAAGCUAUGGAAGCUGAGCUGGAAAUGAUCAAUAAAAAUGAAACAUGGGAGUUGGUGAGCAGACCAGAAAAUAAGAAGGUUAUUGGGGUUAAAUGGGUGUACCGGACCAAGUACAAUGCUGAUGGCUCACUGAACAAGCACAAGGCCAGGCUUGUGGUGAAGGGUUACAGUCAGCAGUAUGGUGUGGACUUCUUGGAGACUUUUGCUCCAGUGGCAAGACUGGACACAAUCAAGCUACUGUUUGCUUUAGCAGCUCAGAAGCAGUGGAAAGUUCACCAAUUGGAUGUCAAAUUUGCAUUCCUGAAUGGUUUUCUCAAGGAGGAGAUCUUCAUUGAGCAACCUGAAGGUUUUGAAGUUGCUGGACAUGAAGACAAAGUGUACAAGUUAAGAAAGGCCCUCUAUGGCCUGAAACAGGCACCAAGGGCCUGGUAUGACAGAGUUGAUGCUUAUCUGACCAAGCUUGGAUUUGUGAAGAGCCUUAGUGAACCUACUCUGUAUGUUAAGAGGUCAGAAUUUGAAACCUUGCUGAUUGUCUCCUUGUAUGUGGAUUACUUGUUAGUGACAGGGAGCAAAGUUGAGCUCAUUGAAGAGUUCAAGAUUCAAAUGCAGCAAGUGUUUGAGAUGACAGAUUUAGGGGUCAUGACUUACUUCCUUGGCAUGGAAGUUCACCAGUCUGAUCGGGGCAUAUUCAUCAGCCAACAAACAUUUGCCUUGAAGAUUCUUGGCAAAUUUUGCAUGCAAAAUUGUAAAGCAGUAAGUACACCAGUGGCACAGGGUGAAAAAUUAACCAGCAAUGGUGAUCAGCAAAAGGUUAAUGAGAGGCAUUAUCGAAGCCUAGUUGGUUGUCUGUUGUAUCUAACAGCAACCAGGCCAGACAUCAUGUUUGGUGUUAGCCUGUUAUCGAGAUUCAUGCAUUGUUGCAAUGAGGCACAUUUGAAAGCUGCAAAAAGGGUCCUUAGAUACAUCAAAGGCACAGCUAACUUUGGUGUAAUGUUUGAAAGUGGGAAGGAACUGAAAUUAGAAGGUUACUCUGAUAGUGAUUGGGCAGGAUCCCUCGAUGACAUGAAGAGUACCUCUGGAUACUUCUUCACACUUGGAUCGGGCAUGUUUUGCUGGAGUUCAAAGAAGCAACAAACUGUUGCUCAGUCCACAGCUGAAGCAGAGUACAUUGCUGCAGCAGGAACAGUUAAUCAGGCCAUUUGGCUAAGGAAGCUGCUUCAUGACCUUAAUGAAACUCAAGAUGAAACAACUGAAAUUUGGAUGGAUAAUCAGUCUGCAGUUGCGAUAGCCAAGAACCCUGUGUUCCAUGGUAAGACUAAGCAUUUUAAAAUCAAACUGCAUUUUGUUAGAGAGGCUGAACAAGCAAAGGAAGUCAGCCUUGUGCAUUGCAGCUCAGGGGCACAAUUGACUGACAUAAUGACCAAGCCUUUAGGGGCUGCUCGAUUUGAAUCUUUGAGAAGUGCAAUUGGAAUGUGUUGCAUACAGUUCAAGGAGGAGUGUUGAAAGCUGAACUGCAAUGCAACAUGGAGCCAGAAGCAUGCUACUGUCGAGACCAGCAGCUAUCAAGCUCAGCUCAUUUUGCUUGGCGCGUACGAAUGGUUUUUGGACCAAAUGAAGCAACUGACAUUGCUGUUUUGUUUUGAUGUAAUUUAGUUCAGUUUAAUUGUAACUAGCUUUAAUAGUUAGCAGGAUUAAGUUAGUGAUUAGAUAGCUGAUGUAAAAGCUGAUAUGACAGCUCAUUUUGUAUUUGACUUUAACUUACAUUGGUUGUAAAUUAGUGGAGGCAGUUAGAUUAGUAGGUAACUGUCAAAUGAACAAAUUGUAACUCCUUUUUAUUUCAAAUUUUGAAUGAAAAAAAUGUCAAUGUUCAGUUACAAUUCUUGCUGUACAUUCAAGUUUCUUGCUUGCUGCUCUGCUUGUUUUCUUUUUUCUGCUUCGAUUACUCUUGCUUCUGCUUGCAAAUCUCUUUGUUGCUGCUGCCAUUGUUCCAACAGAAGCGCUAGCUUUGAUCUCUUCAGUCACUAGAGACAUCUUUUUUUUUUCUAAAACUUGGAAUUGAUGCUGAGGCCCAAGGAGAGUGGCGAUGAUAUAGUAGUGAAGCUAUUUAUCGACCCUCGUGGGAGGGGAAAUAUUUCCAUAAUGCCAUUGUAGCAUGCACAUGCACAUACCAAGGCUGGGGUUUAGGUGUAGCCAGCCUCCUUUUAGGUGAAGUAACAACACAACAGUUAGGCGAGUAAUUUGGUGAAGAGAUGAGGGCAUGAGAUUGCACCUAGCCACCUUUAUUAGCAUUUAUGAUACAGUUGGACGUUUAUUGUAGGGUGAUGAUAAGGGUAAGGGAGCGGUGGGGGUGUUUUAAAAGAAAAAGGGUGUUGACAAAAUGCCGUUGUGACAGUAGUUUAGGUGGGAGGGGGAAUCCAUUUAUUGAUGUGAUAAACAGAUGAACCACAAACAGAUGGGAUUUUUAUACUUUCAUAACUCAAUUCUUGGUUUCUUACUCUCUUUUCUUCUUUUAUACUUGAAACAGAUAGUGCAGUACUGAUUGCUAAAAGUAAAAAAUGAAACGAGAGACUACAUAUCUUCAUCCUACAAACACUUGAAAGCAGAUCACUGUAGCUAGUUUCUAUAACUAAUUUACUACCUCUGAAUUAGGGGAAGGAGCAGCCUUUAAUAUUUUGCUGAUCUGCCACUGUGAGUCAGAGCCUACUAGUUAUGGGAAUGCAAUGCAUGGUGGCCAGAGAUGGGAGGUCCACCAGGGCCCCUUUGCCUGUCCUUGCUUUGUACAAAACAGGUCAUUGUAUUGAAUACAAAGAGUAGGGUCGGUUUCAUCUUCACCCAAAUCCCCCCAAGUGUGUUUCCAUGUCAUCUUCACCCAAAUGAAAAACGGCCUAUCCUCCCUUUACAUUGAGCCUGCAGUCAUGAACUGGUCGGAGUUUGCAGCUUUUAUAUUGAUAUUAUGGCCCAUUUCACAGCUGUAACUGUUUUGGAAAGGAUUCAUCAUGCUUGAUCUCUUUUGGCAUUGGUCAUGAAAGAAGCAGUAGUUCCCAUAUUCCAUAAGCAAAAAAAAAAAAAAAGGUAAAAUCAUCAUAGAUCACCCUGUAUUAAGAGUUAGAUUGCAUUUUACUCUCUUUAUUCAAAAAAUGGGUAAAAAUUUGUCUUUUUAUAUUAGAUCAAAAAAGAAACGGAUAUUGUUACGAUCUAUUUUUAUUAUUAAAAAUUUGGUCUCCGUAUGCCAGUAUACGUGAUACAGACAUGUGUUCCUGUCUGGUUAUUGCAUCAAUAUAUAAAAAUUAAUUUACUCAUUUUAAGUAGAAAAGGAUAAAAAUAUAAUUUAACUUUUAGUACAAAAAUCUAUAUAACACAUUUGCUUAAAAAAUGCAUUACUCACCACUAGACCUAUCCAUAGGUCUUCGCAAAAAUAUGUAACUCAUAAUGUAAAUUUGAUUUGAAGAUGUUUUAUAAAAUUGAUCUCAAAGUUUAUUUUAAGAGGCAUCAUAAUUUUUUUUUCUUAUUAUCCAACAGGGGCGAAGAUAGGAGCAAACGAUGGUCUUAUCUCUCCUAAAAUAUAAAACUAUAUUUUUAACUCUAAAAAAUUUAUAAAAUUUUAUGUUAAUAAAUGGUAAAAUUAGAAUUUAACUCUCUUAAAAUGAUAAAAUUUUAAUUUAAUCAUUCCAAAAAUUGAAAAAAUAUAUAAUACAAUUAUAUUUUAAUUCUCAUAAAAAUAUGUAAGACUUAAAAAAAAUUAGGUUCCCUUGAUUACCAAUAGAAGUGGAACUAGUUGCCUAUUUUUGGUACUUGAUUCCCAAUAUAUAAAACCUAGUAAUAUUGGGCAGCGCUGAAAUUUUUAAUUUUUUAUAAUUAAAAUUGAUAUAAUUAAUAAAUGGCGCUGAAAGUUUUAUUAUAAUUAAUAAAUGUACUCUAAUUAUAUUUUUUUCAAAAAUCAAUUAAAUUUCUACUUUUUUUUACUCAUUUGAUAUUUGCAUUUUCAAAAUAUAUAAAAAAAAACUUUCAAACCUUUUCAAAAAAAAAUUAAGCUUUUACUUUUUUUUUACACUCAAUUGGAUACUUAAACUUCAAAAUGCAUCAAAAAGAUCCACAAACUUUUUUUAAAAAAGCAAUUACGCUCCUGCUUUUAUUAAAAAUUAUAAAAAAAAUUAUAAAAAAUUAAAAUCAAUAAAACAUAUAAAUAUUAUUUAAAUUUUAAUAAAAAAUUAAAAUAUUAAAAAUUUGAUAAAAUUUAUAAAAUAAUAGAAAAAUCGUAAAAAUAUAUAUAAAAAUUAUAAAAUUUUAUAAAAAUCGUAAAAAAAUUUAUAAAAUAUAAAAUUCUAUAAAGUCAUAGAAAAAUUAUAAAAUGCUUCUUUUGGUACGAUAAUUUUUAUAAAAUUUAUAUUUCUUUACAUUUUAUAUAAUUUUCUUACGACUUUAUAAAAUUGUAUAAUUUUUUUAUAUUUCUAUUUAUUUUAUAAUUUUUUUAUGAUUUUUAUAAAAUUUUAUAAUUUUUUAUAUAUAUAAAAUGUAAAGAAAUAUAAUUUUCGUAAAAAAAAUUUAUAAAAUUUAUUAUACCAAAAGAAGUAUUUUAUAAUUUUUUUAUAACUUUUAUUGAUUUUUAUUUUUCAUCAUUUUUCACCACAUGUCACAUUGUGUUGCGACACGUGAUGACUUUAAUUGAAAAAAACUAAGCUGUGUUAUUUUUUUAUGAUUUUUAUAAAAAAUAUUUUUAAUAAAAUUUAAAUUUUUUAUAUUUUUAUUAAAAUUUAAUAUUUUUUAUAGUUUUUUUCUAAUUUUUAAUAAGAGUAUGGCUUUAUUUGCUUUUUUGAAAAAUUUUGAGGGUCUUUUUUAUACAUUUUGAAAGUUCAAGUACCCAAUUGAGUGAAAAAAAAAAAAGAAAAAGGAAAGGCUUAAUUGCUUCUUUUUUUUAAAGUUUGAGGGCUUUUUAUACUGUUAAGUCUUAUAUUUUGAGAUUUACUUUGGAACUUGAAAGUAAAUAUUUAGAGUAUAAAAAUAUAAGUAAUUGAAAAUUUUAGAGUAAUAUAUGGAAUAUAAUUAAUUGGGCAUUGACUUAUUGCAUACCAUCAUCAAAAUUAAUCAUAUUUAUAAAGAAAAAGCAUUAAUAACUUUUUUAUAGAACUAUUAUUGUGUAAUGAAGAACAAAAAUUCAGAAAAGAAACUAAUUACAACUUCGAAUAUUCAAGGAAUAUUUGUACAUUCUCUUCUAGCUCAAACAGAGGAAUUGAGGUUUCAUUCGUAUAUAUCUAUUUACUUAUCAAAAUUAAAUUUUAAAAAACAUUCUUACAUGCGCUUUUGUCUUUUUCAAAAGAAUAUUGUAAGGCCACUAAAUUAUUUGUAAGAUAUGUUAAUGAGAGACCACAAAUGAACUGAAAUACUUAAUACCUAAUAUUUCUAUAAAAAAGGGAAUGAAGUUUUUGAAUAUAAAGUUUAAAUUUCCUUUAUAAGAAUGGGGCAUGACACUAAUAUAAAAUUGAUAUUCCAAAAGAAAGUAAAUUCUAAUAACAAUAAAAGAUAUUAGAUUCAUUAAAAAUAUCCAUUGCUUUUAAAUGACUUUUUUAUAUACAUAACUUACCAAAUAAAUUGACCUAUAAAAUCUAUUUAAGACCUCUAAAAAUAAUUUUAAAUAAAAAAUUAUUGUUAAAAAUAUAGAUUAUUGAGGGGUAGAUAAAUAGGAAUCAUAUACAUUGGAUAUCUUUUACAUUCCAAGUAUAGACUUGGCCCCCUCAGUGCCAUUGGUAUAUAAGAAAACCAUCAACGCUACUUCCAGAUUUGACCACAACCACAAGGAAUAUUUUUCCUAUGGAAAUAUAGAAAUACAAAUCAAAGUUUAAACCCUUUCAACACAUUCCAAAAUAAACCAAAACCAGACACAGCAAAAGCCUUUGCGCCAGAACAAAAACCCUGACCCGUCUUUUAAAAAUUUCAUUGCGACCAAUGUAGUAGACCUACAAAACUAGGGUCCCAAUUCCCAAACUAAAAACACUUCAACCAAAUUUGAAGCCACCAGGUGGAACACUUGGCUGCUGGUUCACCCCAAAAUUAAAGCCUUGCUGAUUUUCAUUCCCACCAUCUUGGAUAUUCUGUUCAUCUUCUUCCUCUUCAGCCCAGUAUCUCUCCAAGAUCUUCACAGCCUUCUCGUAUAUCUCAUGGUUGUCAUGAGUUUGCAGGUUUUCAAUUUUAUCCAACCCAUCGCACUCAUCUAUCAUUUGUGCAUAUAGAUUGAUUCCACCGUUCAUUCCCAUUUCCUUAUCAGCCUCACCAACCUUCAGAAUGUUCUCAAGCCCCUCCAGGCACACCGUCACAAUUCGUGGAUCUGGACAGAUUAGUAGGUCACAGAGUGGCUUAAUGCAACCUUGGCUCACAAGGAAUCUGCAAAAUAACACAUCAUAUGAGGUUCCCCACAUUCAAGGCACAUUCUGUCUCACAUGCAUAUGAUUCAAGCAAUAUAGUUAAGAACCAUUAUCAUGUAAGGUUACUCAAAUGAGGACCGUAUUUUCAGUGCAUAUUGCCACAACAGCAUGACCAAAACCUAAUAUAUGAUGGAAGAAACUGGAAGAAAGAAUAAAGACAAUGGCUGCAUUCAUUACCCUGUUAAACUAACUAAUUUAGUUGAGUAUGCCGACAAUGCCUGUACCAAUUGAUAUCUGAGUACAUGUGUGCACCAUGAUGCUGAUAUUGCAUUUGGACAAUAUCACAGCAUAUAUUCUCAAGUGAUUCCAUGCAUGAAGGUUUGCAAUGCAUGAUUAUCAGAUCCAAAGACGAAAAACUGAAAUGUAAGCAGAAAAGGCAGAGGACAUACUGAAUCUGCUCAUGAGAUCCUCCAGAGGUGGCAUUCGAGAUGGCCCAUGCAGCCUCCUUCUUAAUGUCAAACUCCGCAAGUUGAAGAAGGUGUACAAGAGGAAGAAUAAUAUUGGCCUCAAUAACUGCCUGUGCCACAGAAAAUCAACAAAAGUAUCAAUAACACCACAAGUGCCUCUAAUAUGUCAAUGCCCCGAAACUAGUAUCAACUUAAGUCACAGUCAAAAUAAGCAAAGCUUCAGUUGCUUGUCAACUAAGAUUUAUUGACACCUCAGAAUUAUCAGCAACACAUGACACGCCAUCUUAGGCAGCCAAACAAGAUGAUUGAAUUAUUAUACCUUUCAGGCCACUGCACAAAUUGAGCCAAUAAAUCUUCAUAAAAAGAGGGCAGAUAGAGAAACUAUACCUGUAUUUGAGCUCUAUUCCCAGCUGUUAUAUUGGAGAUUGUCCAGCAGGCUUCUUUCUUGAUACUUUUUUUGUGAUUUUGUACAAGAAGUUGAUAGAGAUGAGGGAGCACCUUGUUGUCAAUCACAAACUGAAAAAUAUACCUAGAGUUAUUGAAGCUUUUAAAGGAAAGAAAGAAACAACUUCACAACAAUUCUUUUGUAUAAUACAACAAGAGAGCUUUGAAUAACUGAUUCUAUUUGGAAGAAUAUGUAGUUAGUUUACUAUAUCCUUACACUCACAAUAAAGUUGAUUGAUGGCAAUCCAAAUGCAACAAGAAUGUGAGUGCAGUAAACAACAUAAAUGAUGCCAAGACUGCUGUGAACAUGAAUAAAUGCACUUUAUACCUGAGUCUGAUUGUCAUCACCAGUGACAAUGUUUCCCACAGUGCGAAGAGCAGGUAUAAGAACUGUCGGCGAUGGAUGACUGGCAUGAUUGAAUUUUGGUCAGCACCAGUAGUCAAAAUAUUAGAACAAGAAUAACCCACAAAGUAUACAGAGAUAAAAACCCUGUGAUAAAAGCGAAAACUAUUGGCGGUAGCUGAAAUGGAGAGGGUGCAUGAGAUCCACGCUAAAAAAGUACUUAGAAAAGGAUAGCAACCUAAGGUUGUUAACAUUCCAGUAUUUCUAGAGUACUCAUAAGCUUACCCAAGAAGUUCCACCAGUCGUGGGCAGACCCCAGCUUCAAUGACAGCCUGGAUUUUGUCAUUUGGGCCAUCUGAAAGAUAAGAUAGUGCCCAGCAAGCAUCUGUGAGAACUUCUUCAUCAUUUAAGUAAAUAAGUUCCCGUAGAACUGGUAAAGCAGGCUUCACCUGAAAAGAACACAAGAUUGUCGUCAUAACCCAUAAGCUCUAUAAGUUACCAAGAUAAAUUGCUAAAAACAAUAAUAAGCUAAUGAAAACUUCUAUAAUUAUGAUAUCCACAGAAGCCUCUACAAUCUUUACCUGCUCAAAUGGUGUCGGUGGCUUGCCACGGCAGAAAUUAGAUAAUGUCCAAGUAGCAUUCCUCAGCAUGGAUAAUUUAGAGCGCUCAUUUAACUGAGCCAACAAUGGCAUAAGUGCACCAUUACCAAGAACUAGAUCUCUACAACUUGGUGAAUCUCCAGCAACAUUACCCAAAGCCCAUACAGCCUAAACAGAAUGUAUAGGAAACGAGGAUAGGAAACACAUCAGUUGCUGGAGCUAAAAAUGACUAUCAGAACAUGUGCACAUAGAUCAAAGGUAAAAUAUACUGCUCUGGCAGGUAAAGCACAUGCAGAAAAUGUAAUAGUUAAAACUAAAACAUUAACGAUAUAAGUUACUUGGGAUGUAUGAGAUUUUUGUUAUUCUAACAGGUACAGCAGAUAAAAAUGAGUUAUUGAAAAAAAAAUGGACCUGCUCGCGAACAUCAUCACUAGCAGAGCUAAGCAGCUGAACAAACAUUGGAACAGCACCAUGUUCAAUAACAACCCGUGUGUGCUCAGAUGUACCAGAGGCAACAUUGGUCAAAGCCCAGGCAGCCUCAAACUAAAAUCAAAGGGAAGUAGUCUCAGUAAUGAUAAGAUCUCUUAUACAAAUUAUUUCAAUUUAAACAAAAGACACACAAGACAUCAUACUUGCAAUUGAGGUACAUCUUGUCUUCCAAGAAACUCCACAAAUCGAGGGACAACUCCAGCUUUGAUUACUUCAUCAAUUGGAGGACUGCGCUCUACAAGUAAAGCAGAAGAAAGUCAACAACGUAGAUGGACAUAUUACUUAAUAAAAGAUCUGUUAAGAAUAUGAAUUAGAAAAUGGAAAUUACCUAUAGAUAACAGCUUCCUAAACUGAGUUGUGGCUUCUAAUUGUGAGGCAGGAUCUUCCGACCACACCCCUUGUACCAUCAAAGGGAUACUUUCCAACUGUUAGAUAUCAUCACAAGUAAUACGUUCAGGAUCCAAAUAAUGAAAAGCCUAAACUGGGAGGAUCAAAACCGUAACAAAAUCCUCUCCCACACUUCCUCUACAUUCGGGCAGACCCGAUGGUUAGAUAACCUAACUCAAGAACAGUAUGUUAAAACACAUUUAACCUUUACCAAAUCUCAACUCUGCCUCAUGAAAACACUAAAAUUUCCCCUCAACCACAUUCAUUUUAUCAACCAACAAAACCAAUCAGCAAACGGUUAUUGGAACAAAACACUCCUGCCAUAGAAAAGCUAAUAGAUCAUAGAAAAUUAGAAUAUUGUAAUCCUAAAUAAACAACCCUAAACCUCCACUUUUCCCUUUUCUGUCAAUUAAAACAAACAUGUAUUUCAUCAAACCCUUCACUCAAAAGACUAAAUCUCAAAUACUUGAAACAAGAGGGAAAUUUUGCAGCAGACAUAAAAGAAGUUUUUUUUUGGUUUAUUUUAAAUAAAAAAGCCCCUUCCUUUAUCAAAAUACUUGUACCACAGAAAAAUAUUAGGAAGGAAGAAAAACAAAUCAAGUGAGUUUAAAGAUCUCCAUUGACUUAAGAACCCAAAUCUUGAUGAAAUCUUCUUCAUUUUUCUAACAUAAGUUAAUAAUGGAAUAUCCUUCCUUUCCGAUCGUAAGAAUAAACAAUUGCAAUCGAAUAAUAACAGCAAUGAUAACAAAAGCUAAGUAACAAGCAACAACUCAGUAGCAUCAAGAUCCCAAAAUUCCCCAUAAACAAAUCCAAUCCAAUCCAAACCCAUCAAUCGAAACACCCAAAAGAAAAAGAAAAAGGGUACCCUUUUCUCAAUAGCGGCAGCAUUUUGGACAGCAUCAAGCAAAGGCUGCUGAGACUGAAGAAGAAGGCCUUCUCUACGCUUUUUAAGGAGAUUGUCUUCGCGCUUGUUCUUCCUGAUCUCAACCAAAUUGUCCUCUCUCCUCCGCCUGGCUUCGUCCGCGUCCACCCCCGUCUUGUAACUCUUCUUCCGCACCUCAGUUCGGCUACCUGGUCGAAGCGACAUUCUCUUCUUUUCUGAAUCCCUGUCUUGAUGUGUUUGUAGAAUAAAUGAAAAGGGGAUCGAUUCGUGGGUGAAGGUACAGAGGGUAGACACAGAAUGUGAAGUAGAAAAUCGAUUGCUACUUUUCCCUUUUUAUAUAUACUACAUUUUAUGCUCUAAUACUCUUAACUACAUUUUGACAAACUCAGCGACUCACUGAGCUGAGUCGACCAACAAAAUACUAACUUUAAAAAGGUUAAAAUUUUUAUAAGUCCCUAUACUUUUUAAAAUAUUAUAAUUUAGUUUUUAUACUUUUAUUUCCAUGAAUUUAGUCUCUCUAGUUUUCAUAUUUCGAAAUUCAAGUCCAAUUGUUAACGCUAUUAUUUAUUUUAUUAAAUUUUUUGGUGUGACAUUUUGAAAUAAAAAAAAAACUCAUUUAACUACUAUGUAAUUAAAAAAAAGUAACAUUGUAAUAAAUAUGAAUUCAACAAAAAUAAUUAACAAGGUUAAUAGUUAGACUUAAAUUUUGAAAUCUGAAAAGUAGAGUACUAAAUUCUUGAAAAUAAAAGUAUAUGAACUAAAUUUUAAAUUGUUGAAUAAUAUAAGGACUUAUAGCAUAUUUUAACCUUUAAAAAAUUGUUAUGGAGUGAUAUGGACCAUUCUUUUUAAGUUAAAAUAUUCCAUAAGUCGAUGUAACCUUCUUAAAUUUAGAAUUUAAUCCCUAUACUUGUAUUUAUAGAAAUUUAGUCCCUCAAAUUUUUUAGAUUUUAAAUUUAAGUCUAACUAUUAAUACUUUUAAAAUUAUUUUGUUAAAUUUAAGCUCAUUAUAGCGUCAUUUUUUAAGUCAAAUUGUUAUCAAGUGAGUGCUUUUUUUAUUUUAAAAUAUUACACCAGCCAAUUUAACAAAAAAAAUUAAGAGGGUUAACAAUUGGACAUGAACUUUAAAUUAUAAAAAGUAGAAAAACUAAUUUUUUGAGAAUAAAAAUAUAUAGAUUAAAUUCUAAAUUUGUUAAGAGUAUAAGGAGCUAUAGUAUAUUUUCACUUUCUUUUCAAAGGAAAAUAAUAUACUAUAUAUUUAGCCCAAAUGACAAAAAAAAACACCUCCAGGUUUAGGGUUCAUAAUUAUGAAAGACGGCCCAAAAUAAAUGGAGUACGUAAAAGCUUCAAAGUUUAAUGUUUACCUUCACAAUUUCACGCCCACCAACCCUAAUUUAAUAAUUUCUGUACCACUAAUUACAAAAUGCCUGGAAGUUAUGUGGAAAAUUUUCUAUGUACUCUUUAUUUUUUUUAUUAAAAAAAUAGAUAAAUUUGUCCAAUACAUUAAAUUAAAGAAUAAAUUGAUAUUUUUAUUAAAAAAUUUAUCCAUUUAUAUUACUAAAAAUUUGUCUCCAUAUGCUGACAUGAGAUAUAUAUAACACGUUAUAUGUUACUAUUCAGUUAUUCUGUCAACAAUACAAGUUCUUAACAAUAUAAAUAAAUAAAAUUUUAAUAGAAAAAAUUAAUUUACUCUUUAAUCUGAUGUACGAGGAUUAUUUUACUUAAUUUUUUUAAGCAAAUGAAAUAGAAUAUAAUCUAAUUUCGAAUACAAAAACUUCUAUCAUACUCAUACAAAUUCAAAUUGAGUCAAACAACCAAUGAUCUCUAAGCUUAGCGUGAGUGAGAACAUAAGCUGCUGACAAGAGUAUGAGCAAAAGAAAAGUACUAGUAAGAGGACAAGAGCGUUAAGAAUGCUAAAAGGGUUUAUUACAAUGCUGAAGCUCGUGCUCAAAUGUGGGGUGGGGUGACUUGCUCCGCAUUACAUCACUUAAUCAAGCGGUCCAGGUUGAUCCUAGCCUAAAAUAUCUAGUCUAAGGCGAUUUGUGUAUAGUAUGUAAGUUAAGGACUCUCCUAGGUGCUUACAAAAGCUUCCACGGGCAUCAAGGGAUGUGCCUCCCAAACCUUCUGAACUAUGACCUUUUUUGGUACUCGGUUGUGCCGCAUGUGGGUCGGACAAUCCCUCUUAUCCCUGUUGCGCGAAUCCAGCCCAAAGUGAUGAUCGAAUUGGACCCUCAUGGAUGAUCAUGUGAUCCAAUGGUGGUGGGCUAAUAUGUAAAUACCUUUUAAUACGUUAAUAAUUCAUGUUAAAUAGAUUAUGAGACAUCCAUUGUUGAUGUUAAUUUUUAUGUUAAAAAAUGUGUAACAUGUUAAUCAUUUAUUUAAUUUAAAUGAGAAGUAUUAUUACUUAAGUUCACGUUCAUAUGUACCGAUAAUAAUGUUAAUUUGAAACUCUAAACUCUAUUUCAAAAUUGAAAUCUAUUAAGAGUUUUUUUUAAAUAAAAUUUAUUAAUUAUCUUUAGCAUCGUAUUAAUGCGUCAAAUGGCAGCAUAUAAAAUGUACCACAUAAACUCUGUUUUUUUUCUCUCUCUAUAAUCUCAUAUUAUUAUAGUAAUAUAAGGCUAAUUCAAUAUUUUAUUUGAUAAAAAUAAUGUCUUAAAUUGUUAUAAUAUUGUAAUAUACAAUUUCCUAAAUUAAACAUAAAUAAAAAAAAUGUUCAUGGAAUCCAUUAAUUUAAUACUUAUGAAAUUUAUUUAUAAUAAAUUUUUUAAAUGUUUCAGAAAAAGUUUUUAAUUUUUUUUAAACUCAAACCUAUAAACAAUCAAUAAUAUAAUAAAAUAUAAUUAGUAUAAAAAUCCUUAAAAUUAAAAAAUCUAAUUAGUAUAAAUUAUAACAUAAUAAAUUUACUUUUUUCUUUGUUUUUAAAUUUUGAUAUUAUAAUUUUAAAUAAGUAAAAAGACAGCUUUAAAAUUUGAUAUGAAAUUGGCUAGGUAUAUUGUAAGUUUUAAGAUAAUUUUUUUAAUUUUAAAUUUGAAAUAAUUUUUUAAAAAUUAAAAUUAAAAUUUAAAGGUUAAAUAAAGAGAUGAGAUUUUAUUUUUAAAUAAAUCAAAUGAUCAUUUUAAAAUUUGAAAUAAAAUUGGUUAGGUAUAUUUUGAUUUUUUAUAUAAUUUUUUAAUUUUAAAUUCAAAAUACAUUUUUAAAAUUGAAAUUGAAAUUAAAUUUAUUCAAACGCUAAAUAAAGAGUUUUUAUUUUAAAAUGAAAAUUUAUAUAUAUAUAUAUUUAAUUUUAAAUUCAAAAUACGAAUUUUUUAAAAGUAAAAUUAAAAAUAAAUAUAUUGAAAGUACUUAAAAGUUAAAUAAAGAAUCGUGGUUUUAAAACAUAAAAUUUACUGUAUAAUUUAAAUUUUCUUUAAAAUACUUUUUUUCUAAUAAAAAUAUUUUUAAAUUUAAAAUUCUUAUCCUACAUGUCAUUUAAAUUAUUAAAUAAAUAAUAAUUUUAAUAGACAAUCAUAAAUUUUGAACCUAAAACAACUUGACAUUUUCAAAUGUAAAACUUUGGGGUUAUAAUCUAAAUAACACUUUAUGAAUAACUAAAAAUUAUAGAAAUUAAUUUAAAAAAAUAGAAAAAAUAAAAAUAUAUCACUUGUCAUAAUAUUAUGCAUCUUUACCUUAUUUUAUUAUUUUACCUUAUUUUAUUAUAAUAUUAAUUUGUAUACUCAUGCGAUACACUUUAGGUAUUUAUAUAAACGUUUCAAAAUAUUUAAUACUACAAAAAACCUUUUAAAAAUGAUUUUCGCUUAUUUAAAUAUGUUUUUCUUUUAACAUUCAAUAUAUUUAAUAUAAAUAAAAAAUGAUAAAUUAUUGUUUAAUCAAAAUAUAAGAAAAAUAAUAUCAUUUUGAAUUAGUUUAAAAUAAUUUAAAAUAAUUUUAAUUUAAUGAUCAAAAUAAAUUUAAAUUUCAAAUAAUUAGAAAUAUUUAAAUUUUAAAUAAUAAUUAGAAAACUUUUUUUUUUUGUAACAUGUGUUGCAAGAAUAUUCAAAUUAUUAAAAAAAUUAUUAGAUACAUGUCUAUAUUAAGAAAUUUAUUUUUUAACAAAAUUACUUUCAUUUCCGUAAAGAAACACUAAUAUCAUAUUUAAAAUUUAAAAUUUUUACCUCUGCAAUGCUAAUUAAAAUUAUGCAAAUGAGUUUUUUCAAAAAAAUGUGUAAAAUAAUUCAAGUUUAAAAUCUAUUUAAAAUACAUAAAUGAAAAGCAUUAUCUUUUUUGAUUUAAAAAUUUUAAAAUUAUAAAAAUUAAACAUAUGCUUUAUUUAAAAUUAUUAAUAAAUAAAAAUGGAAAAAAUAAAUUAAGAAGUAUUAUACUAAAAUUCCUUCUUAAUAAAUCUUAAAAUUGUUAAUAUUCAAUUUUUUUUAUUAAUAUCCAUGUUAUUGUCACAUAUAAUUCAUUUGAUUAUAUUGAAAACUGGCAACUUUUCAAUCUAUAGCUCAAACAAAAGUCUUAUUAUUUGUGAAAUUCUUAGAUGAAUUCUUAAGUCACAUAAAAUUUUAUUGAAUUUUUUUUUAUAAAACUUUAUAUUUAUUUUUUAUUUGAAAAUAUUUAUAACUAAUUUUUUAUUAAUUAGACUCAAUAAUUUUUUCAAUAAAAUUUAUUAAAAAAUUAAGUUUUUUUUUUCCAAUAGUUUUUACGUAGGGUGAGCAAAAUUCGAUUCGUUUCAAAAAAGUCGAAAAAAAUUUCGAAUUUUGAAAUAUUCGAAUCGAGUUAAUUGAAUCAACUCGAAUUUUUUUCGAAUUUCCAGUUCAAGUUGAGUUGAAUUUUCGAAUUCGAAUAACUCGAAUAAUUCGAAUAAACCGAAUAUAAACUAUAUUUUUUAAUUUUUUUAAAAUUUUAGGCUUUUACUUAAACCCAAUUUCCCCCAAACCCAAACAUUUUAUAUUUUCCAUUUCCCCAAGCCCAUCUGCCCAAGCCCCAAAGAUUUAUUUUCUUAAAUCCCAAUCCCUCCCUCAAAUCAAAACCCCAGCAAAUUCCAAACCCCAAUUAUUUUUCUUUUCUCUUCAUUUCUAUUCAAUUCAAACCCUAAAAUCUAUUUUUCUCAAAAAAGCCUAAAAUAAACCCUCAUUCCUUCUUCUUCUUAAUUAUUUUUUACCUAUUUACUCACUUAUUUAUUCACUUAUUUACUUCAAUUUUUUGUUGUAUGAAAAAAUAUUUUUUUGAAAAAUUACAUAAAAAUAAACAACACUAAAGUCAUUUUUUUAAAAUUUAACUCGAACAAAUAUAUUCGAUUCGAAUUUCAUCUCACUCGACUCGAUUUGAGAAAACUUCAAAUUAAGUUAGGAUGAUAAAAUAAGAUUCGAAAAUUUGAUUAACUAGAAAAUUUUCGAUUCGAUUCUAUCGAAUGCUCACCCCUAUUUUUACGUUUUAUUUAUGUUGGGUUUUAUUUGAAUUUUGUUUUAGAUUUACAUUUUUGAGGUUUUUCUAUUACCUAUUUGGGCCAUAUUUUAUAGGUUUGGGCUAAUAAAAAUAUCAUACUGAUUCAAUCGAUUUUUUAAAUUAGUUCAAUCGUUUUGAUUUCAUGUUUUAAUAGUAGUUCUAAGUGGUUCGUUCAAAAAUCAAUUUUAAUUCAGUCGGUUUAAUUUUAUGUUUCAAUAGUAAUUCCAAGUGGUUCACUCAAAACUCAAUUUAAUGUCAUUGCUCGAACAGAUACACCUAUCAAUUCUUGAUUCAACCUGUCGAAUCGAUUUAUCCAAUUUAAUUCCAACAAUAUUCAUACAACACUAAUUUAUUCAUGCCAUGAAAAAAAAUUGUAAUUUUGUUUCUACAAAAGAAAAAAAAAUUAAAAUAUGUUGUUAGUUUCUGAACUAGUAUAGAAUUUGAGAUUUAGUCAUGUACUUUAAAAGUUAAAAAUUCAAUUCUCUUAAUUUUCAUUUCAAAAAUUCUAGUCCAAUCAUUAUCAUUGUUGAUAAUUUAUGUCAAAAACUUAUCAAUUUUAUCAUGUUUAUUUUUUAUCAAUCAUAUGUCACGUCCUCUAAGGACGGUCUAAUCAAAAUUCUAUUUUGAUUAAUUUUAACAGUAAAUAUUUAAAAAUUUUAAUAAUUAGAUUGAAUUUUUUAAAUAAAAAAUAAAACUUUUAUUUAGUAAUUUAUCUUUCAACGUGUGGAACAAGAAAAUAGGGUGUAAGGAUUUGGGUUGAAAAAGCUAUAGUUUCAUUUUCUAAUUUCUAAAUCCAUAAUUACAAGAAUUAAUUGGUGAUUGAAUUCCAUUACAUCAUAUUAGAUAGACACCGGUUGUCUUGGGUCAAAAUAAUCGCUUAUUCAUUAAUUAUUAUAAAAAAUACUCCAUUUUAUUUUGAUUUUCUUCUAAGCUGAAGGCUAAAUAAAUCACGCACCAAAACCUAUUAAUUACCUAAUUAAGACAUGUAUGACUUUUCUUUGUUUUAGGUACAUAAUACUUCUUUUUCUAACUUCAAAGUUUUUUAUAGACGCAUAAUAAUUGGUGGGAAAGUUAUUUUCCCAUGUAGAUGAUAAGCAACAUAAAUUAUUAGGACAAAAUUAAUUAUUUUUUAUUUGUGUUUAGGGUAUUAAUUAACUUAUAUGUAAUAUAAAAAGAAAACUGUCAUCUCUUCGUAUUUUGGUCUCUACAAUUUAGAUUCAUCAGUCUAAAGAUAAAUAUCUAUAUUUUAUUUUCUUCUAAGUAAAUGAUUAUAGCAUAGAAAACUUAAGACAACUUAUUGAAUUAAAUAAUUGUGUACUAAAAAAGAAACUUAUUCACGAAUGAUAUUAUAUUGCUCCAACAACAACGUUUGCAUUACCUACUCUAAAAUUCAAAUUUUAUACUAGUUUAUUGCCUAAUUUUCUCAUCAACGAAGAUAUAUGAUAUGCCUCUCUAACAAAAUUUACAUGAAAAUUCUCAUGUAUUAAAAUUAAAAAAUCAGAUAUGUCAUACAUCCAAAUCAAAAUAAUAAUUUAAAAUUAAUAUUAAAAUAAUUUCAGACCAUAUAAAUAAUAUUAUUUGUUUUUAAAACUUUUCAUACAUAUGUAGCUUUUUAUGUAUAUUUUCAUAAAUUUAUUUAUUUUGUGUUAAUAUUAUUUCUUCGUAGUUCCUUGAUCUUAGCUGAAAGGCCAAUAUAUUUUUCAUAGCUCCAUUCUUCCCAAUUGCAUUAUGUUACCAAGGAUGAAAUUUGUUGGGAGGACGAAAUUAAAUUAAAUCAAAUUUUUAUCAUUUUUAGAUUGGUCAAAGUACAAUUUUAUCAUUAUUAAACUACAAAACACCUCAAUAAAACAAUUUAUUUUAAGGAGAGUCGAGCUACUGCAAGCCCACUGAAUUCGUUGCUGAAUGUUAUAUAAUUAUAGUGGGUUGAAAUAUUUUAAAGUAAUCAAAAUUAUUAUAUCAACUUGAUUAUAGUUAAAUAUCUUUCAAUUUUAUGUCUUAUGUUAUAUAAUAAAUUUUAUUUAUUUAAAUUCUCUUAUUCUUUUUGCUUUUUUAUUAAAUUUAUUAAAUUAAAAUUUCAAUUAUGAGUAUGCCCGGCAUUUAUCAAGUUGAAAUAUAUGAUUCACUUUUAAUUAAAAUAUCCAACCCCUAAUUUAUAAGUAGGAAAGAGAACCAAAUGGUAUCUCCCAUUUCAUGCAAAAGCAGCAAAACAUUGUAUCGGUAAUCAUCCACAUUGCUAUUUAUUUAACAGGCUUGAUAUCUGAAUUUAUAUUCCUGCUAUUUUUUUUAAAAUUUAAUAUUUGUAUUUAAUAAAAGUUAUAUUUAUUAAUAUCUAAAAGUAAUAAAUUUAAUUUUUCAGUGUUCAACUCUCAUCCCCACCUUAAUAUUGUAUAAAAAAUAUCAUUUUAAAAUUAUAAUAAUUUAGUAAAAAUAUAUAUAUUUUUAUUAUUUAUUAAAUAAUAUAAUAAUUAAUAUAAAUUAAAACAAAAUAUAAAGAAAAUUCGUUCACGGGUAAUAAAAUCUAGUUUGACUAAAGAAAAAAGUGCUGUAAUUGGGUAGGUAAAGGAAAGGGGGAGCAGUUACGUAUAAAAACUAAAAACACUGACUAAGAUGCGAAAUACCUUGACCACCUCAUCCUUUCAUGUUUCAACAAUCCUUUCACAUGCAUGUACUGCACGCCUUUUGUUGAUGAAAUCCAAUCUUUGUUUGCUGAUUGCUUAACCAUCCCUUUAAUGAUUUAUGUGAAAAUGGAUAUAUGUAAAAAAGGGAAAUCCCAUAAUUAAAACUGUCAAAAUUAAGAAAGAUGAACUGUGGCUUUAGCUUCAUGCAUGGCUGAUGGCUGAUGUCAAAAUUAAGAAAGAUGAACUGUAGCUUUAAGUCUUUGGUAGUCGGAAUUAAUUGAGGGUUUAGACAUAAUUAUAGACUUGGACAGGGUCCAAGUCUCUAACAUCUGAUUGAGAAAUAUCAUCUAGACUAAUCCUGGUGUCAUUUCUGAUAUCGCCACUUGUGAGCCUCUUUUACAUUCAAAUUAAUCUAGUCUAAUCUCAUUUGUAUGUAUAAGAUCUCUUCAUUGUUGAAAAAUUUUGUCAAAAACUAUGGCCGGAAAACCAUACAACUUCAAAUUUUUUCUCUUCAUGCAAAAAGUCCUGUUCACCAGAACUUGGAAUAAAAUAUACAUUCAGAGAAAAGCUAGCAGCAGCCCCCAUGCAUCCCAACCCGAUUUCAACAAAUACCCUUUCCUUGGAAAAGGACAAGGAACACUUUUAAACAAAACAUUGAUGUUUCAUAUGGAGGGGGCACUGUUGAAAUCUUCUUCAGUCUUCCCUUACUUCUUGCUCGUAGCCUUUGAAGCUGGAGGGCCAUUAAGAGCUUUCACCCUGCUUCUUUUGUACCCUAUCGUUUGUUUGGUCGGUGAAGAAUGGGGGCUAAAGAUUAUGGUGUUUGUUUGCUUUGUGGGAUUGAAGGAAGCAAGUUUUAGUGUUGGGAGAACGGUCUUGCCCAAGUUCUUGUUAGAGGAUGUUGGGAAUGAAGGCUUUGAUAUGGUGAUGAAAUGCGGUGGCACAAAAAUAGCAGUCACCGAUAUGCCUAGAGUUAUGGUGGAUUGCUUCUUGAAAGACUAUCUGAGGAUUGAGUAUGUUGUAGGCAGAGAGUUGAAGGUGGUUUGUGGGCAUUUUUUAGGCUUGAUGGAGGACAUAAAGACAAGCAGUGGUUCCAUGGAACUUGAAAAGGUUCCUAGGGAAGGGAAAAUGGAUUCACCUGUUAUUGGCAUAAGUUGCUUCAAUAACUCUCUUCAUCACCAACUCUUUUCUUGUUGUGAGGUUUGCCAUUAAUUUUGCUUGUUUUUGCUACUUUUUUUUUUCCUAACAACAAAAAGUAAUUAUGUUAUUGUUGGUAUCAUUCAGGUUGUUUACAUGGUAAGUGAAGCUGACAAGAAGAAUUGGCAAACGCUUCCUAGGGAGAAAUAUCCAAGACCAUUGAUUUUCCAUGAUGGAAGACUAGCUUUAAGGCCAACACCUAUUGCUACUUUGUUCAUCUUCAUGUGGAUUCCCUUUGGGAUUUUUCUACUCCUUGUUAGAGCCAUAGUCUUCUUCCUGUUACCAUACAAGUUGUCUAUACUAUUCUUACACUUCACAGGUUUGAGAGGUACCUUAAUUAUCCCCGACGACGGCCGUGUCUCAAAUGAGCUAAAACAAUUAAGUAAAGAAGGUGGUCUGCUCUAUGUAUGCAACCACAGAACUCUGCUCGAUCCGGUCUACCUUUCAAUGGGUCUUGUUCAAGUUCGACCUCCGAGUCUCAGCCUAGCUGCAGUCACAUACAGUUUAAGUCGGGUUACGGAGCUGUUUGCGCCGAUUAGGACAGUUCGAUUAACAAGAAACAGGGAGAAAGACUCAAAGAUGAUAGAAAAACAACUACAACAAGGUGAUAUAGUUAUUUGUCCUGAAGGAACCACUUGCAGGGAACCAUAUUUACUGAGGUUUAGUCCUUUAUUCGCAGAGAAAACCGACCGCAUAGUUCCGGUUGCCAUAGAUUUCCAUGUGAGCAUGUUCUACGGAACAACGGCCGGCGGGUAUAAAUCCUUAGACCCCGUGUUCUUGCUCAUGAACCCAACAUCUCACUGCUCUGCUACUAUUCUAGAGAAGCUACCAAAAUCAUACACAUGUAAAGCAGGGAAAUCAAAGUUUGAGGUAGCCAAUCAUGUGCAGGCACUGAUUGGGAAAGCCUUGAAUUUUGAGUGUACAUCUUUAACAAGAAAGGAUAAGUACAUGAUAUUGGCAGGUAAUGAAGGAAUAGUGUAGCUCUAGUAUAUACGAUCAGCCCAUGAAUAUACCAUUACCAUAAACUCAAAACAAAAGUUUGCUGCUUCAUUAGUGUUUUUUUUUUUUUUUUGUGUGUGUGUGUUGAGUAUUGUAGGGAAGAGACAUGGGAGCAUUGGGGUCGUUGGGGAAUUUAAUGAUAGCUGAUGAUCUGUAAUUUGGUUUUGUGUCUAUUACGGAAAGAUGAUUGUGAUAAAUAUAAAAAAUUCUAAACCAUGAAUUGAAUUGAACUUGUUGAUUUUAGUGUCAGUUUGGCCUACUGCAAAAUGGAUAAGAGGAAGAGUUAUGGGCCUAGUGGAAGGUUUCAGAUUACUUUUGUCGGUUAUAAAGGAACUUGGUAAUUAAUGUCAAAUUUUAACAUAUGCUGUAAAAAGUGCUAAAUUAGUUUAACAUAUGCAAUCUGAGUAGCUUCCAUAAAUGAGUUUUAAAUGUGUAAUGAUUGAUAAAAAGGUGAAUAAAUUGCAUUUCCAUGUACAUGCUCUUCCAAAGCUAGUAGGGUUGGUUAUGGAUAUCAUAGAAUAUGCCAUCUCCUAUCUUAUCAUGUCGGGUGGGACUGGGAAGGAGUUGAUUGAGCAACACAGGUUUGUAAAAGAAGAGGUUGCAGCAAAAUAAAAAUAAAAAAUCAACCACUACAAGUGGGGGAGUUAAAAAACUUUUUCAGGGACAGAUGAAAUUUUAAUUUUUUAUAAUUUAUAUUUUUAUAAUUUGUAAAGGAUUAAAUUAAAUUUUUAUAAUUUUAGGAGGUUAAAGUGUAAUUUUACCUUUACUAAUUUAAAAUUUUUAAAAAAUUUAAAGACCAAAAUAAUAAUUUUACAUUUUAGGGGGGUCAGGGCCCAUGCCAACCCCCUCGCUUCGCCCCUGACCACUACAUUGACUUUGGAUUUAAUGAACUAACAAAGUUUUUAAAAUACGAUUGAGAUAGAAUUAAAUGAUUACAAUCGCGAUUUUAAAAUUAUCAAGCUUGUUGAAUAGAUGACCUAAACAGUUGUUAAGUACACCAAAGAGGGUAUGAACAAAAGUUUGACAAUUUUGUUAAAACUACAAUAACCACAAUAAAAUGAGGAAUAAUAAAAUUGUUUAUACGGUUAAGUUUCACUGUAUAUGUGGAGCUUAGUUCAUUGAGAAUAAACCACUGUAUUUGAACUCAAUAUAAUCAAUAAUUCUAGUUUUAACACAUUCUAGUGAAGAAUCCUCCUUGUAUUCAAAAACUAGACCUCUCACUCAUGGUGGUUGAUUCUACACAGGCUCUAAUCGUACAUGUCGGUGUGCACCGUUUUGAUGCUAAACCGAAAUAACCAACACCCCUUUUUGCACUGGUAAAAAUUUUGAUUUGUACGGUCACAUUGGCUCAUUUCAAUAAAUUUUGGUCACACUAAUUGGUGUGCACUGUUCUAGUACUAAACCGAAACAACCAACACCCUUUUCCGCAAUGGUAAAAAUUCCAGUUCUUACCAAUUGUACCAACUUGUUUUGAUCAAUUCUGAUUACAUUGACCAAAACAUGGUCAUAAAAUUAAUAAUUGUUUACUAUCAUAUUAAAAACUUAAUUGGAAUGUGACUAAUCAAAAAAGAUUUUUUUAUACUUUCACAUUUAAAAUAUAAUAAAAAAUGCAUUCACCCUAUUAUUAAAGAAAAACUCUCCACUCAUCUAUCUACUUCUUUUAUCAAAAAAAAAAAAAGAAAGAAAUGAGCUAAAUCCUUAAAAUUUCAUAUUGAAAGAUGCAAGUUUUAAAAAUUUUUCUAGAAAAAUAAUCGAUAGAAAAUAAGCAAAAGAGAGAUAAAGCGAGGAGUACAUUCAACCCAAACCAAUAAAUUUCGAUAAAUAAAUUAUUUUUUCAUAUUAUUUUUGAAAAAACUGAUUUACUUUUUAAAUAAGAAAAAAAAUUUAAAUUAUCAAUUUAAUAUGUCUUUCAAAUUAUUUAUUAGUAGUAUUAAAAGGAGAUGUGAUUUAAGUUAAUAUGAUGUUUUCACAAUUGAAAAUUAGAAAAAUAGCAAAAUUGAUUUAGCCAUUUUCCUAACUUUCAAAACUGCAUGUUGCCUUCAAUCAUAGUCGAUUUAAUUAAAUAUGUUUCACUAUUUUAUUUUUAAAAAAAAAACUAAAUCUAUUUUUCAUAAAUUUAUUUCUCUCCGCUACCAAAAAUCUUAUGUUUUGAUAAAUAAUCUAAAAGGGUCAAAAUCUAAGUGUUGACAAAUAAUAAAAAAGGAGUGUUAGAUUGACAAAUUUUUUAUGUUAUAUUUGAAAAAAAAAACCCUAUGAAAACUAUGUAUAGAAAAUAAAUUAAUAAAAUUAAAUUAUAUUUUUUGAAUUUAAAUAAAUUUGGAGCAAACUUCACUCAACUUCCUUGAAUUGUGACUUAUAUUUUAAAUUGAUUCCUAAAUUUUAAAAUAUUCAAAUUAAAUUUCUUAAUUUUUGAAGUUAUAUAAAUCAAGUUCUUCUGUUACUAAAACAAUUAAUUUCAGACACUUUAGAUCUUAUUUGACAUAAUUUAAAAUUGAAAAAGAAAAAACCUUAAAAGAAAUGUUAAAAGAAAAAAAAAACUUUCAUUGAGUAAAUUGCACAAAAGUUUUGCUUUUUUGCCUUUAUUUUUUUCUUCUAAGGUUUUUUUUUGGUUAACUUUAAGGUUUAAUUUUUUUUUAAUUUUAAAUUAUGCUAUAUGUGUCACUUAGUAGUGAAAUUAAUGGUUUUAGAACAGAAAGGACUUUUGAUAUAACCUUCAAAGUUUGGAAAUGUAAUUGGAAUGUUAGAAAGUUUAGAGACCAAUUUAUAAUGUGAUCUAUAGUUUGGGGAUGUCUGGUGCAAUUUAUUCUUAAAUUUUAUAGUUUUUUUUUCUAAAUAAUUAAAUUUUAUGUUAAAUAUGAUCCAAGUCCAUAUAAUCUUCAUAAUUUGAAAUUUAAUCCCUCUACUUUUAUUUCCAGAAAUUUAAUUUUAUUUUCAGAUUUCAAAAUUUAUGUCCAAUUAUUUACUCUAACUAAAAUAUUCUAUUAAGUUUGUUGAUUUGAUAUUUUAAAAUAAAAGAAAUACUCAUAUUUUAUCCAUAAAAAAAAUUCACAAUUGAAUUUGUAUUUUUAAAAUAAAAAAUAGAAGAAUUAAAUUCAUUAAAAUAAAAGUAAAAGAUUAAAUUUCAAAUGUACAAAGAUUACAAGGACUUGGAGCAUAUUUUAACCUAAAUUUUAUAAUUCGCCUAAAGAAAACCUAACAGCUUAAUCAACCCCAACAAUUUUGUUCGCUGCUAGACAGAAAACCUAACAGCUCAGCCUUUUGUCUGCAAAAUCAAUCCUAAGUAUGGCAUUGAUGCAAUUUCUGAACCACACAAGAACGAUUCCUAUUUCAAAUCCAUAUGGAUUCUCGAGAUUCUUCUCCAAGUCCAGUCCUUUUAUUGGUAAGAUAUUCUCUUUAUAUCGUAAACGUUGCAAGAACAUUAACAAUGAAACAUUCCUAUGCUUCUGUUUGUUUCCUGAGAAAGUUAUAUAAUAAAUUUCUGUGUUUAACCUGUUAGUUUUUUGGGUUUUGCUUCUCUUGGCGUUUUUUAUUUGGCUGCUUGUUUAAUUGUUGAGAGGAAGUUUUUAUUUUUCAGGAUUCACUGAACUUGGAUGAAUAGCUAAGUGAUGCUAAUUUUAAUUGGUUUGUUCUUUUUAAUCCUUUUACUGUCAAGGAAAUGCGUGAAAAGAAAGAUAAAAGAGAGGAAUAUGGGCCUUUUAAUUCAUUUUCUUUAGGUUGUCAUUAGGAUCCUCAAGUUAUGUUAGUUUAAAAUAGCUACUACAUAGACCUUAAUUUGAACUUUUUCCAUUUUCAACUCUACAAAGGUUUUUGCUCCCUAAUGUUAUAAGGAAAAUUUGCCAACAGUAAUUCUAUUUUACUUGUCAUUUAUUUUUUAUAUUUGUAAUCCUAAAUUGGUGAAAAAUGGAUUUGAGAAGUGAUCUUAUUAUAUUGCAGUGAAAGUUGGAAUUCCAGAAUUUCUGAAUGGAGUAGGGCAUGGGGUUGAAACUCACGUAGCAAAGCUGGAAUCUGAGAUUGGUGACUUUCAGAAACUGCUCGUCACCCGCACUCUUAAGCUCAAGAAGAUUGGAAUUCCCUGCAAACAUGUAAUAAUUCCCAACUCGCACUCUAAACACAAAUUUUCUUUGAUAAGCAUGCCAAUUUCAAGCAACUGCUUGAACCCCUAUUCAUUGUACCUUUAUGCAGUUAUUAUUUGAUUAUCCAGUUAUGCAGUAUCAUUAAUAGAAUAAUAGCUUAUGUACAUGUUUCUGUUACUGCUCCGACAAUCUCCUAAACUAUAGUAUCCUUGCAUGGCACUUAUCAAACUGGAGAUUGCAGCUAGCCAAACUAUUAAUGAUACUGUUCUUACAUUGCAGCUAGCCAAACCAGUUUGAGCAGUUUGUGUGCAUGCAUCACCUUACGAUCUAACAAAGCUUAUGCUGAAAGAUACAGACUCUUACGAAUAGUUUGAAAUAUUAGGAUAGAAUAGAACGGAAAUAAAGUUGUCAGACUGGUUUAGCAUCAGUAAAUCCUCAUCUCUUCCAGCAAUCAUUGUCGGAUAGCAAUUUCUUUUAAUUUUGUAUUAUAAAAUUUGAGUUUCCUACUUUGUUUUAAAAGAGUUGGGGGUGGGGGGGAACCUUUUAAUGGGAUUUAGAGAAGUUGCUUUUAGUGGUAGUUUUUGAUAAUGUGCUGGUUUAUCAUGAACUUUGAAAAGGUUAGGUUCUAUACUUAUGAUUGCUCAUUGUUACAUCAAGAGCAGAAUGUUGGCAUAUAUCAUUGACAUUUGGUGAGAUAAUCUUAUUUUCAUGUGCAAUUUUAUUGCCAUAUUUUGUCAGUUUCAUUCAUAUUGCAUGCUAAACUUUGAUACCCUCACUAAGCAUAUUUUAUUAUGGAAGCUUUGUUUUUUUGGGUGUAAAACCCUUUGCUAUUAUCAUUUAGUUUUUACAAGGACUGAGUGAGUCAUUGAUUGGUUUUUGAUUUUGGUGUGGCAGAGGAAGCUGAUACUGAAAUAUGCCCACAAAUAUAGGCUGGGUUUGUGGAGGCCGAGAGCUGAACCAGUGAAGGUGUGAUAAAUAAGUUUUAUCCUUUGGGAGCUAUGCUAAGAUGGUGAUGUUAUUGUACCAAAGAAUGGCUUUAGGGCUCUAUUUGCAAUCAUUGGUCACCUUACUCCUUGUUUCAAUGGACAUGAAUUUAGAGGUUUAGGUUCAAAAAAGGGGGGAAAAAAGGAUAUCCAAUGGAUGGCACAUUGAAUUUAGUGAAGCAAAAUGUACUUUCUUGAUGUUUAGUCAUUUUAUCUCUUCUUAUGCCAUACACCCGCAAUUAGUGUUUUCAUAUUUUCUUGAUCGUAUUAAUAUUCAACCCUUCACCUCUCAUUGCUGAUUCAUUUUGAAAUCCAGCGGUAUCAUCUUCGUUGCUUGGUGUCACCAUUUUCCAUAUCAACGACUAAAUCCUCUUCUCCUUCAAUCAUAUAUUUCAUCUAUGUUAGCGUACCAAAUCGUUUUAUGAAACUCGAUCCACUUGUCUAACAUUGUCUCGUCUUGAAUAUAGCAUGCCUUCGAAUCAAGGAAUUUAGCUCUUUAGCUACCAAAUGUAGCGUUAAGGGUUACAACUCGCAAUUUAAGCCACCAAAGGUCCGCGUCAACAGAGAUGCAAGAGAUUUUUGAGAAUUGCGGGUCAAACUCUUUUGUGACAAGGAAUCUUAAUUAGGCCCCAAGCCAAGAAUGAGGCCAAAGAUUUCACUUCACAUGUGGACAAACUGCCAAGAAACUGUUUUAACGUGUACAUAUAUGUGUAUAUAAAUAUCUUUUAGCUAGGUUUUAGGGGCCUCAACCCUGUGUCCCUUUUGACAAACUCAGAACCGAUUCAUUUGCUGCUUUCUUGUUUCCAAGAUUAAGUCGAUAUUAAGCAAAGGAUUUGGAUAAAGCAUGCAAAUUGUGUUUGAAGACAAAUUAAAGCCUGAAGUGAGGACAAUGGAUGAAAGAAAGCUACUCAUGACUCAAUCAAAAGAAACUGGUAAAGCCUUGUUUAUCAUAAACUAUAGAGUAAUAUGUUAAUGAGUAAACUACAUUAGCAAUCACCAAUUAUGGAUUAUUUUCUUUUUUAGUCACCUAGCUAUAAAAAGUUAUAAAAGUGGUCAUUCAAUUAUUCAAUUUUAUCUUUUUUGGUUAUCCAACUAUCUCGGACUUUAAGUGUUUCCAUUUUUCCGUUGGCUAGUUAGUGACUAUAAAAAACAAUUUUAAAUAAUUAAGUAAUCAUUUUAUAAUUUUUCAUAUUUGGGUGACUCAAAAAUAAAAAGUCCCAUAGUUGGUUGACCUCUAUUGUAGUUUACCUAUGUUAAUUUAUGUAACGAAAGGAACCGAGGUGGACAGAAUUGAUUAAUUAUAAUAUCCAAGGCCUCAAAAUGAGGCAACGUGGAACAGUUCAGACUUCUCAUAAUUAACAAGUCGACCAGAAAAGAGAGAAAAAUUCACCAUCACUUUAAUGGCUCGAGAAGAGUGGACAUUCAAGGAAAAUAUUCAUUCGUAAAUAGCAGGUGAUUAAUGGAUGUAGCGACUCUGGCGAUCUUAGUUCCUUUUAUUGUCCCAUCCUUGUCUGCUUUGGAAAGCAUUGCAGCGAAGACAUUCCGACAGAGAACAAACAAAUUAAGAGAAAUUCGAUCUCCUAGUCUUAAUCCAUGACAUGGUUUUAAAUGCUUUAUUAGGUUACCAUUAAUCAAAACAUGAUAAAAGACCAUCGAAAUGCAUUACAUGAUAAGGGAGGUCAAUAUUCAGUGCUGCCAAAGAGCCCUACCCUCUUUUCUUACCUUUAAUGGGUUUUAGUAGUUUCCCCGCCAACAGGAUGUUGUUCGUUAUCAGCCUGCCUUGAACAAAAGCAUUUUGAAAUGGAGAAAUAAUAUCAUCUAGGACUUCCUUGAGUCUAUUGACCAAUUUUUGUUGGAAAUGAUGUUGUAAGCAACACUACAAUGACUAAUGGGACAAAUGUUUUCAGCCUUAAUGUGAGGAUUCCCUUUUGAAACAAGUGAAAUGAUCGUCUUGUUUAGCUCCUUUAACAGGUGUCCUGAGUUAAAAAAGAACAGCGAGGCCUCCAUAGUUAGAGACCAACAAUGUCCCGGAAUGCCUAACAGAAUCUUUCUUCACCUCACUCCAACAUAAAGGUCUCAACCUAAUCUUAAGAGAGUCUGGGGAGGUUAAGAACGUUGAGCCUAUCCUUGAUUAGAACAAUGUUGGCAAAGUCCUCCUUACAAUAAAUAUCUUGAACAUGCUGAAGAAAUAUUUGUUUGAUCUAUGUUAUUGCUGGAGUCGCACAACUUCUAGAUCCUAUUCCAUUCCCUUUUCCUUCUAGUGGCAAUGUGAAAAGAAUUUUGUAUCGCAACCCUCUCAAUUUUCCACAGAAUUUUGUAUAUAUUUUUACUACUCAAGGGUUCUCAAUUCCUCUGUUGUAAGUUUUUCUCUAUUAUAGUCCUCUGUCUUCAUAUAUUGCUUCAAGUUGGUGUUUAGGAAGUGACGAUCCCAAAUGUUGGUGAGCCUUAAUUCUGAGCACUCCAAGCUUCAUUGAUAACAUCCUUGUAUUGAGGGUGAGUGAUUACUAUCCGUCGAAACAAAUAGAGGCUUGGCUAGUGGUUGUCCAUGUGUAAUACGGUCUCUUUGUCGGUAUUUUAACUGGAUCACAUUUAUGGAUGCACUUAAUGAGAUUCUUUGCACAUUGUAUAUCCUUAUUUGAGAAGGAAAAUUUGCCUGUGUCAAAGUCCCCAACCAUCAUCUCCCACAAAUUCAGUAGCUAACUCGUAUAAUUUCUCUCAUACUACGUCUUUCACUAGUAAUCCAAAGGAUUUAUCAGGAUCCUCAAGGUACGCAAAUAAAAUAUUAUUAUUCAUUAUAGAAGAAAAACCCCACUUCGUUGCCAACUUCUCACCAGCUUCAGCUUCAACUAUAUAGAGAUCACCAUUAGACAAAUCCUGUGACGCCUCAUUGGCGAUUCAAUUAAGAAGAUGAGGAUUUUUGAGCAGUGGCAAAGCUAGAGGGGGACGGGGAGGCUGCAAAAAAAAAUAAUGGUAGAGUUGCUUUAGAGCCCCUUUGUUGUAAAAAUACAAAUUAGUACAAUAGUAAAAUUUCAUUUUGACCCCAUAAACAUUUAUAUUUUACUUAUGACCCCUUCAACUAUACAAGUCAUAUCAGAAAAUUAUAUAUAAGCAACAAACUCAAGUUUUACUUUUUUUUAAUUAAAAAAAAAAGAAAAUUAAAAAUAUCAGAAUUUAAAUUUAAUAUAUGUACAUGCUAUUUUUGAAGAUGAAUUUUAUGUAUCAAUUAAUUAAACUCAAUUUAUAGUAUAGUCAUCAUACAACUUCAUUCAAAGAGUUUUAAAUUAUUAAAAGGUUAAUUAAAAACAAUUUUUAAGAAAAAAAUAUUAAUUUAUUAUUAAAUUAGUUUAUUUAUCCGUGCAAUACAUGGAUUGAUUGUACGUAUGUACUAAUAAAAAUAUUUAUAUUUAAUUUAUAGUUUAUUAUAUUUAAUAAUAAAAAGAUUUAAAUUAAUUUAUAUUCUUCUUUUAAAAAAUUAAGGAAUAUGUUAAUAAUAUAAGUAAUGAACUAAAAGGGAAAUUAAAUAAAUAUUCUUUGCCUCAUGUUACCAAAUAAUAAAUCUAAUAUUCAAAUAUGUAAUAUAUAUAUAUAUAUAUAUCUGUAAAAAAAAAAUAGACAGAAAAGUGUUGAAUAUUUAAUUUUCUAUUAAACAGUCAAUGACUACAUACAUAAAAAUUAUUGUAUUAGGUAUAGAUUGUCUGAAGUCAUAUUAUAGUGUUGACCACUCUAUUAUGCUUAAAUUUAUGAUUUAACUUAUAUAUUUUUAUUUGAUCUAAUUUGCUCCCUUUAUUAUUAUAAUCCCAUUAGUUAAUCUUAAUAAUUAACAUUUUAAAUGACUCUGAUAGUUAACAUGAAUCUUUUUGAAACACUUAAUUCAAUUCAUAAUGUUGAAAUAGAAUUUUUUUUUUGUUAGAAUAGUAUUUUUUAUAAAAAAGAAAUUACGUUGAGUUUUUAAUUUAAAUAGUUAACUAUAUUAAUUAUUUGUAUUAACUAACAAUAUUAUAAAAAUAUAGGAAUGAAUUAAAGUAGAGAAUAAUCUCAAAUGUAAGUAUGAUAAAGGAACUAAAACUGAAAUAUGACCAUUUUGGUGUUAAUAGAGAGUUGGAAAUCAUGCACUCCCCAGUCCCACGUCCAACCCCAACAAGAAUUCACAAGGAAUAAUAAACUUAUUACUUCAUGUAGAGAAUUGUAAAUAAGAAAAAUAGAAUAUAUCAAUAUAAAGCACUUAUUGAAUUCGUUUUUUCAAUAAUGUACAUUUUACGGUAUUUUUAGUAGAGGUUGUUUUGAAUAAUUAACAAAAGAGAUAAUUACAUUGAUAAUUAUUCUGAGUCUAAUAACUAUUUUUAUAUUUAAGAAUAGAUAAAAUAUUACUAGACAAAAAUAUGUAUCUACAUUCUAUCUAUGUUUUUUUUUUAUUGUUUAAUUAAGAUAUGGCGAAAGUUGGAAAAAAAUAAAAAUAAAAUUGUAACUAUAAGAUAGUCUUAGAAUUGACAUUCAAACAUAAAAUGUAUAACUUAUUUGUUUAUUUCCAAACAAGAUUGAUGAAAUUGGGGCAUGAUUGCAUUCAAAAUUCACAUUGUUGUUUAAUGAAGGCAUAUGGAUGGAUUUGAAAACAAUGGUGAUUAGGCAAAAAGCAAGAGCCAACUGAAAGCAUAUAAAUAGAAGGACAAAAAAUCUGAGAAAAGAACAGAGGCAUGGUGGUCCUUGAAUUUUAGUCACCUUACUAUAUGACCAAAUUGCAAAAAAAAUAGAGAGACUCCCCUCCAAAAGGCCAAAUACUUGUGUUGAUGAUAGGGAUGCCACCUGGGUAUCCCACUUCUCAAAUCCCUAAAUCAGACAACUUGGUUCAUGUGAGUACACGUGUUAGCCCGUAAGAGUUAGAUUUGGACAAAAGUGAUUGAUUCCUAAGAUUGAUCUUUUGUUUCUUCUUCCCCAUUGGUGGGUAUGGUAACCCUUUUUUAUUUCAUUCAAUUCAAACCUCGUUAAUUGUGGUUUGUGGAUGUAAUUCAAUUUCAAUUCUAAAAGCCAAACCUUUCCUUUCUUUCUUUUUUUCUAGCUUUUGGGAAAGAAUGGGAAAAGUUAAAUUUCAAGGGGUCUAUUUCUAGAUUUUGUUUUAAACUUUUUUUUCUUUUUUCUUUUUUUGGUGUGAGGGCACAUGCAAGGCAUUUGAGAGGUGGGUGCACUUGAAAAAUGUAGGGGCAUGGAGGCACAUGGUGGUGAGAAGGGCUGCUUCAUCGAGGGCACCUUCUGUGACUCUGUUUUGCUCAUAAACACCCCUCAAUUCAAUCCUUUUCUGUUUUAUUUUUUCAAAUUUUCAUACCUAUUUUAUGGUCUAUGAAGACUAAUUUUUUAAGAUUUAUGAUUCUCAACAAUAUUUUCUUCAUAAUUCAAAACAAUAUUCUCCCCUUGAAAUGUAAUGUAUAUUAUUAUUACACCUAACAUUUAUUGAAACAAUAUUAGAUUAUCAAGAUAUAUAUUCUCUUACAUUCUCCUUAUCAUACUGUGUCGAGACAAGUUGAUUAUAUUUUUAGUUUCUUUCAAUUUCAAAUAAAAAACAAUUGAUGAAAGAUGUAAUUAAUUAAUUAAAUUAGGAAGGCUUAGAGUGUGUAUGAUAAUAGUUUUAAUUUUUUUAAUAUAAAUAUUUAAAAAUAUAUAUAUUGCAUAAGAUAGUAAAUAGGUAGCUAGUUUUCACUUCAUGUAGAAAAUAUUCAAAUUACUUAAUAUAAAAUAUUAUAUUAAUAAUAUUAAAAUUAAAAAUAAAUAACCUUUUAAAAAUUAAUAUUUAUUUUUAUCAAACAACAUAAUUACAUUCAAUACUUAAAUCUAUUAAUUUAUCAAACAAUUUUUUAAUAUAGAUUUGACGUUUAUAAAAUUUAACAUAAUUUUUUAACUCUUAAAAUUUUAAAUUUUAAAUUAUCGAAUAUCCUCAAAAUUACUUGAUUCUUUCUCUGGUUUACAAAACCAAACAAAUCCGCACACCUCAGACUGCAUGCUAAAAUAUUGAUAAACUUACGAUGGUUAUGAAUUUGCAAAACCAAACGAAUUAGCUAAAUGCGGAAUUAAAAGGUUAAAAUUUCUCAAUUUUUUAAUCAAAGUAAUUUAAUCUUUUAUAAAUUUCGAAAGUGAUUAUCUAAAAAUAAUUAAUCACAAGCAUUAAUUUUUCCAUCAAUUUUACAUAAUAUGAUAUUAUUGGUAUAACGAAAAAUUUAGCCUUUAAAGUUUACGCAUUUUAUCUAUUUUUAUAUGUAUUUUUAAAGUUUAGUUUUUUUUUAUACAAAUGACAACAUAUUUAAUUUGUUAUUACAUCAAUCAAAAUUAUAUACAAUGGAUAGAAAAUAUUAAUUGUCUUUACUUACUCUCAAGUGUAAAGACUAAAUUACUUUAUUUAUAAAAAAAUCAAUUUAAUUAAUAUCAAAAUUAAGAGAGAUUGAAAAAAUAUUUUUAGCAGAAUAAAAACAAUUUUUAAAAAAUCUCAAUGCAUUAAAACAUGAAUUUGAUGAAAUCCAAAAUUUAAUUGAAAAUUUAAAAUUACAGAUUAAAUUAAAGUCGUAUUUGAUAAUUAUACUUAAAAAUCCAAAAACAAAACAAAUCUAAUAUCAAUUACUAUUAAUAUUUAUUUACAUGGUAAACUCUCAAACUUUUAAAUUAAAAUUUUAAACAUAUUUGAACUUACAAUUUUUUUAUUGUUGUAUAAAAAUAGUAUGAAUUAAAUUAAAAUUUUGUGUGACAAAAAUAAUAGAAAAUCCGAUCCAGUUGAAUUUCAAUUGUAAUGUGAUAUAAAAAUACUUGUUAUAAUUUUGUUACAUAUAUUUAAUUAAUUGAUUUAAUCAAUUAAAUAAAUGAUGCUUGACAAAAGCAAAAUAAAAGGAAGAAAAUUACACCACUAAAAAUCAUAAUAGAGUCGUUGUAAUAAACACCUUUUCACAUGUUACCAAUAGAGCCGAGUCGAUCAGUUGGCACCUGAGCCUCACCGCGGGAGAGAAACUCGGUGAUAGCCGUCAUGGCUCGAACUUGCAUCUCUAAAGCCGCUAUGUAAUCGCUCGUUUCUUCUAGAAGGUUGUUGCAAGAUAGUUUCCGGCAACCUGGAACAAGACGUCUCAAAGCCCUCAACUUCCUCUCAACGACCGGCAGUUUUCUCUUCUCUCUGUUAACCACCGGCUUCCUCAACCUUGUAUGGACGGUGACCUUGGCUUUUUUAUGUUUCUUCAUAUUGGUACCAGCAGUGAGUGGAGCGGCGAGAAUCGCUCUGCUCCAACGCGUGGUUCCCUUGGCUGUUAUGGCAAGAACUCUGUCGGCCGUUUGAUGGAGUUCCUUGGCGGAAGUGGAUGAGGAGGUCCGACGAGAACGACAGAGAGCUUGGAAGAGCUUGGAGGAGUAGAUCUGAUGCUCUCGUUUUGUUGUCCAUCGCUUCAUUGUUUGGUUGGAUUGGAUUCGAUGGACAGAAACUGGGUCUCCUUCCGUUUUCCUCCGUUUAAACACAGGGCUUGGGUUCGAGGUUUGGUAUCAAAGAAGCAAAGUAAUUGCAGAAAAGGGAAUGGGAGAAAAGAAAGAAAGAACUUUCAAUACUAAUUUUCUUGGUUUGGUGGCUGAUUCUUAUAAUUAUAAAUAAAAACCUUUUUUGUCCUAAAUAAAUAAAUAAAAGCGAUUCACGGGAAUCAACACGCGGCAUGCCUUAAUCACAUUUAUUCCAUUCAUACAAUAAUAAUAAGUCUUUGAAUCCAACUUAAUUAGUUUUUAAUUUAUAAUUUUCGAAUAAUAUAAAAUUUAUUUUAUAAAUAAAUUAGUGAAACUAAUUAUAAAAAAAAAGCAUAUAAAAGAUAUUAGGAGAUUAAUGUAAUCCUAUUUUAGAAAAAGUCAUAAUUGUAAAAUUAAAAUGUCAAUCUAUUGUAACUUCUUUUAUGUUCAUGUUAUACCUAAUACAAUAUUCCAUCACAUUACUCACGUGUCUUACCCUUCGGUUGCUAUUCAGACAAGUUGGAUGAUAAUCUCAAGACACCAGCUGAGUCAAGAAAUAAAAAAGGACAUUACAUUGAUCCGUGGAGAAUUUACGAACGCAAGUGGACGACAAAUUCAUGAACCAGACCAAGAUCUUUUGGAUUUCCCUCAUCUGAAAUAAAAGCAAAUCCUACCACUAUAUAUUUGUACCGAUUAGAUUUUGGCAGCCAUUUAUCGUACUUCAUAUUAUUGACUUACCAAACUUUUUCCCCUCUUCUCUAUUUCUUUUACCUUGAAAUUUUUUCAAAGUUAAAUCUUAAAUCUCUCUCUAUAUUGCUUUUUUUCUAUACAUAAGACAACUUAUUAAAUAUCAUACCCCUCAACACUUAUUCGAAAAACAUGAGAUUGUUGGUGCAUUGUAUUUUUUCUUCAUUCCUUUCCUCUUUACGUAGCUGUUGACUUGUAAUAAUACCAAUCUUGACUCAAAUUCUUUUUACCAUUGAAGUGGUCAAAUGUUUGGUUGAAAUAUACGACUUUUUCUUUCUUUUCUCUCUUUUUUUUUCUUUUUCUUUUUUUAAAUUCCAACAAAAUAAGGGUUUUUAAUUUGAUUUAAAUAUACUCUUUUAAAAUUUAAAAAUUUUGAGACAUUAAGUCUCUAUAUUUUUUUAUUUAAAAAUCUUGAUCCAUUCUGUUUUAAUUUUUUCAUUAAAAUUAAUAAUAUCAAAGGUAAAAUAUUUUUUUAGCCUUAAACAUUUAUAAUUUUUUUAUCGAUUUGGUCCUUAACAUAAUUUUUAAUUCUUAAAAAAUUAAUUUUGUAUAUUUUAAUUAAAAACAUAAAAAUUUAUAUUUUUUAAAAUAUAAAAAAAUUAUGAAAAAAUUAAAAACUCUUUAAAUUUAAAAAAAAUCCAAAAUUUAUUAUUAUCCUUCACUAUGUGUAGACACCACAAUAGAAACAAGGAAAUGUUAUUCAAAGUUGAAGGCCUAAAAUCCAAAUGAUUAUCCCAUUGCACCAUUCGUUCAUUGAACCAUCUCAUAUUUACAUUCUCAACAUCUAAAUCAUCAUAAUGUCCCAUGAUAAUCCAUGUUGAUAGUCAACCAAUCCCUUCAUGUAUUUUCAUCCAUCGUUUGCAUGUUAGUUUAAUGUUGAUGAAUCUCAAGUUUUUUAGUAAUCUACUUUUAUAAUCUGAUAAGAAGAUACCAAUUUCGAAAAUUGCAGAGAUGUUUACAAAGUUCAAGUUGGAGAUAAAACCCUUUAAUGAAUCUAAGUGUCGUGGGCAAGUGGUAACAUAAAUCGGCACUGCGCUCCCCUACCAUGAGACCUCAGCCGAUUCUCAAUCCAACUACUUUGAUUUAGAAAACAAUGAAUUUUGAAUUUUUUUUUAUAAUUUUAAAAACAUUUGUUUUUUAAGUUUUUUUUUCAUAAUUUUUAAUUAUUUAACUUAUAAUUUUCUAUGUUUUUAUUUAAAUUAUAAAAAAAUAAUUUUUAAACAUUUUCAAAAAAAAUUAAUAUACUUUUAAAGGGUAAGAAUCAAAUUGACAAAGUCAAAUUUUGAAGGCUAGAAAUGUUGUUUUACCUUUGACACUAUUAACUUCAACGACAAAAUUAGAUGGAGAGAUCAAGAUUUUUAGCUAAAAAAGUACAAUGACUCAAUACUUCAAAAUUAAAAUAUAAAGUCUAAAUUUUAAAUUUUAAAAGAAUACAUAGACCUCUAGCAUAUUUAAACUUAAUUUUAAAUGAAUUGACUUUAGUUCAAAUACAUGUAAACACAAAAGUAAUUUUUUUUUCAGCAGUUUUUUCUAAUAUGAAUCUGAUAUCCUGAUUUGAGUUCAUAUAAUUGUAGAUUUUAUCUCUUGUUGUUAUUAAAAAAAACAUAUACUAAACAUGCUUUUCAAUUUUUAAAAAGUUAAAAAUGAAAAUAGAAAAUAUUUUCCAAAACCAAACAGAUGAUAAUGCAUGACUAAAGUAUUCUAAAUAUUUAAGUUGAUGCAAAAACUGGUUUUAUUUGCAAGAAAAAUGUAAGGCUUAAAGGAAAUUAAAAAAACAAAACAAAAUAUCUUCCAUUCAACCAGGGGCAAAGUCAGAAUAAAUAUUUAGGGACGGAUAAAAUUAAUUUUAAUUUUUAUAAUUUUUAAAAGAUUAAAUUAAAUUUUUAUAAUUUUAGGGAGGCUAAAGUACAAUUUUACCUUUACUAAUUUAAAUUUUUUAAAACAUUUUAAGGGCCAAAAGAGUAAAUUUACAUUUUAGGGGGCCAGGGCCAUGGCAGCCGGCUUCGCCCCUGCAUUCAACUUGAUGUGCCCCAUUAGAUUUACGUUUACAUAUAAUACGAGAAAGGCGGAGGCAGAGAAACAAGGAUAGAGGAGUGGUAGGCACACAGAAAGGAAGUUUAAUACGGAGGCUGUAUAAUGAUAUUGACUUUUGAAGAUCUAUGGAGGCUAAAGAGGGAGGUUAACAACAAUUAAUUUCUUCCUUUUUAAGUUUGCAUCAGUAAAAGACAACAAAAUGGCGGUCCAUGGAUUAGAAUCUAUGGGCUAGCAAUGGGAUACCACAUGCCUACGCUAUCUGCAGAAAAUAAGAGUCGAGUAGUGUGGAAAAUGGAAUGAGACUGAAUGCAGAAGGGCAACGAAGGAAGGAGGUGUGCAACAAUAUGGCUCUUGGCUCUCAGGGCAACCAACCCCAACGUUUCUUUUAUUUUCUAUCCAUCUUCAAAUCAUUCAAAGACUCGCCCAAAAAUUUAUAAUUUACCUAAUUCCACAUUUUACAAACUUAAAAAAAAAAAACCUAUUUUUUCUUAAAAAAGUUUCAUUUUCUAACAUUUUUCAACGUAAAACGUUUUUUGUAUUCAACAUACAAUAACAAAAUUGAUGAGAACUUCUUUCUUUUUCUGUCCUUCAGAAAUUUAAAGAUCUAUUUUGAAAAAAAAAAUAAUGAACGUUUGUUGAAAAAGAAAAUGAAUAAACAUGCUCUUUUUUUUUAUAUAUAAUAUAAAAAAACAAAAUCAUUAGUACUCUAAAAAAGAAAACGCCAUAGUUGUGUUUUACUUUUAAUGAACAUUGAAUAGGUAUUUAAUAAUUUUGUGUAAUUUAAAUGUAGUUUAUAGAAUCAAUUCAUUCCUGUAGACUUAUUUAUAUAAUAAUUUGUUAAAAAUUAAGAAAAUUUAUCCUGAACUAUCAAUUGAUUUAUUAUAUAAACUUUAUAAAAAUUAUCUGCAGUAAUGCUAUAUGUAAGGAUUUCUUUAAAUUUUUUAAAUGAAAAUGGUUUUUUAUUGAGGAAAAUAUAUCUUUUUAUGGAUGUUUAAAUUUGACUAUAUUUGUACCUAAUUGUUGUUGGAACAAUAUAAAUGAUGAAGUUUAUUGUUAAAUAAAUUAAAUGUUGGAAAUCAAUUCGUUUCGUUGUGAAGAGUAUAUUGAAUUGAAUAAUUACAACCCAUGAUUAUGAAAGAUCCUUUGAAAUUGCAUUGAGUAUUACUUUGAAUUUUGAAUUUUCAUCAGAUAACAUUUUACUAGAUUUUAUUAGUAUAUUAAUUUUGCUAUUUUAUAGUUGCUGAUUUUAAGGGGUUGCAUUGUAUUCAAUCACCAGUAAGUUAGUAAGUCUAGAAACAUAUAUAUUGCGAAGAUUGUGUAGGUUAUUCAUGAGAGUAUGUUGAGAGCACUUUAUUUGUUCAUUGAGAAAUUUAUUGUGUAAGUGCAAUUAAGUGUAAACAAUAUUGUGUUUACGGUCUAAAUUCUUAAAGGGAGAAUUUAGAGGUGAAUGUUCUAGUAUUUAGAUACAACUUUAGGUUCCAACAACAAGACAAUAAACAUUCAUAUAAACAAUUCAAAAACAUUUAACUUAAUCAAUGACAACACAUAAUAGAUCAAAUCAACAUGCUUUUAUCAUAAUUUUAUGAUCUUAAACCUUCCAUACCAGAAAAUGUACACAUAUUUAUUCAUUUCAUAUACCACAUAGGCUCGUACAAUUAAAAUUAAUGAUUUGAUAAAUCAAUAUACAUAAUAAAGAUCAUUUUGUAUAUUUGUCCCAAUUAACCAAAUAUGAAAUCAUAACUAGAUACAUGAAUAUCCAUCCAAGUCCUCGAGAAGUGCAUAAAGCGCAACAUUAAGGUUCAUAAUAACAAAUCUCCAAUGCUUGUAAAACAAGAUUUAAUUAAUAGUUCCACAGAAUGUGCAAAGCGCUAGAAAAAAAAAUUAUAUAUGCAUUAGGGCAACCCGUAUAAAUAAAAUCUUUAAAAACUCUACAUAUCCUAUGAUGUGCCAACUACACCCGAGAACUAUUCAAGAUUGAUUAAUAUGGUUGUGAAGAUUUUUCACAUAAAUUAUCAACAUACUUCAACAAUUUAACACAAAAUUUAGCUCAAAUAAUAGCUAAAUUCACUUUAUUAAUCAAAUUUUACCAUUAAUGUAACAUCCCAAAGUGAAAAAUUGAGAUCCUACCUUCGAUAAAGUGAAAUAAAGGAAAAAUAAUGAAAUAAAAGUGAUAAAACAAAGGGGAGAAAUUAACUUAUCAAUUAAAAAUUUGAUUAAGAAGCAUAUUAUGAUGUAUUGAUUUAAGUAAGGACUAAAUCGUAAAUGCGAGAAAGAUUUUGUGGCUCAAGAGUAAAUACUUAUAAUUUGAGAGGUUAAAGUGUAAAUAUAAAAAAUUUGAAGGGAGAAUAGUUUAAAUAUUUUAAGGGUGUAAGGAUAUAGAAACUAAGGCAAAUGGAUAAAUUAGGACCAAAUUAAAUAAGUGAAAAAAGUAUGAGGGGUUGAAUUGCAAUUUUACUAAAAUGAGUGAUGAUUCAAUGGAAAAAAUUUGGAGGAUCAUAAGGGGUAAAAUGGUCAUUAGCAAGAAAAAUAAUUUUGAAAAGUAAUGAUGAUGUUGGUGAUAUUUUUAAUUAAUUAAUUAGAUAAAUGUUAUUUAAAUAAUAUUUUAUUAAGAUUUUUAGUAAUAUUUUAUUAUUAAAUUAUUAAUAUAAAAGGAAGGAAAAUUGAAGGAUUCUUCUUCAUCUUUCCAUUCUUCCAACGUGAGAAGAAGAAAAAAGAAAGAAAUUUUAUUUUCUUUACAAUUUGUUCAUUUUACCAAAAAUCUAUCAUUUUCACUUAGAAAUUAAAAGAAUUUCCAUAACCGCUCAGAGAAAAAAAUGAUAAUGAAACUAUGAGGAGCUAGAAUAUCAAAUUAGAUUCAAGAAAAUAGAAGUUGGAGGAGAGAGAAAGUCAAGUUAAAGUUUGGUUUCAAGGUAACAACGUAUGGAUGUUAAGGGUUUAUGUUAUUUUCAAGUUUAAUAGUGAUAGAAAAGCAUAAAUAUGGUGUUAAAGUAAAGAUUUCUCAUGAGAAAAUAUUGUGUUUUUGACAUGUUGGUGAAGAGAGAAGUUGAGAAAGUGAAUCAAGGGGUAGGAGAAGAGAAAAACAAGAAAUUUUGAUAGAAAAGAGGCAAGUACCAAUGAACUUCCUUGUUAUUUAAGAAUUAAAAAUGUGAAAUUUAUAAACUAAGUGGUAAUUAGGUAAAAUAUAGAGUGGAAUAAUUUAGUAUGUGAAGUAGGAAUUUAUUAUAAAAGCAUAAUAGUUGAGUUAUGUGAUAGUGAAAAAUACACAAAGUACUGAAUAAGUGAAAUUAUGGAAAAAUAUAAAAUUUUAUGGAAACAUGGACUAAAUUGAAAGUGUAAUGGCCCAUUUUCAGUAAAAUCGGAAUAGUGGUUUCGUGACCACAAAUUCGAUCUAGAAGAAAAUUUAUUUUAAUAUUGUGGCACAGUUUAUAUUACGAUAGGAAUACUGCAUGAAAAUUUUGAUAGGAAAAUUCUAUUGAUUAUUUAGUUAAAUUGAUAAAAAAAAUCCGUUCCACUCUUAAUACGUAUUUUGGGCCUCGAGGGUAUUUUAUAAAGACUUAAAAGUUAAACUAUGCUAUGAAUGUUAUUUAUUUAUGAAUUAUUUCUAAGUUGUUCAAUAUGUCCGAUAAUGCUCCGUAACCCUGAUCCGGCGACAGUUUAGGGUUAAAGGGUGUUACAUUUAUAUAAUAAAAAAAAUUUUGUUCCACUCCUAAUACGUAUUUUGGGUCUCGAGGGUCUUUUAUAAAGACUUAAAAGUUAAACUAUGCUAUGAAUGUUAUUUAUUUAUGAAUUAUUUCUAAGUUGUUCAAUAUGUCCGAUAAUGCUCCGUAACCCUGAUCUGACGACAAUUUAGGGUUAAGGGGUGUUACAUUUAUUGGUAUCAGAGCCUAGGUUUUCUGAAUUCUUGGGCCGAGAAUGAGUCUAUUCGUACAUGCCAUUUUAUAUAUUGAUGUGAUGAGAUGAGAUGAGGUUUAUUUAUUUAAUUAUUUAAUUGUAUAAUUUGUGAAUAUUGUAAAAAUUUAAAGAUGUCAAAUAGAUCUCAUGAAGAGUCGGAAAAUGAAGUGGAGAGUAGGGCGCCAAACUUUGAUAGGGAAAGAGAUCAACAUAGAACCCAAGCUCGAAGUGAAUCGAUAAACUUACGAGAUGAUAGGGAGCUUGAAUUUGAAGAAAGAACUCAAUCUGAAACUGAGCCGAUACCGCCUAGAGAAGAAAUUCCAAUUGUAGCCUUGUUACAGACAAUGAAUCAGUUGAUGCAGCAAGUUGUAAGAACUAAUAAUGCUCCACUUGUUGCACCACCAUCUUCUCUUUUUGCUGUUCCACAUCCACAACCAUCUGUAACUAGUCAUCGAUCUCCCUUGGAAAGAAUAAGAAAAUAUAGAGUUGAAGAGUUUAAAGGAAAGAAAGAUGAUGACCCAGCUGAGGCCGAAGAAUGGUUAGAGAAUAGUCAAAGAAUAUUUGAAGAAUUGCAGUGUACCGGGGAUGAAAAGUUGAAGUGUGCAGUAUCUUUACUAAAGGGUGAGGCUUACCAAUGGUGGACCACUUUCGUGAACAUUCAUCCUGCAGAGAAAAUUAAUUGGAAAUUCUUUGUGUCUGAACUCAGAAAGAAAUAUAUGAGUCAACUUUAUCUUGAGAAGAAGAAAAGAGAAUUUCUGGAUUUGAAGCACAAUAACAUGUCUAUUGCUGAGUACGAACGUGAAUUUAUCAGAUUAAGCAAAUAUGCUAAGAAACUAGUAACAAGUGAAGCAGAUAUGUGCAGGAGAUUUAAGUGGGGAUUAAAUGAAGAAAUUUAUGUUCCUCUCAUACCAUUACAUCUACAAGAAUUUCCUAUAUUGGUUGAUAGAGCACAGCGACUGGAAGAAGGGUUAGCUCGUUCGAAAGAGAAGAGUUUUGUAAAGAGAUUAGCAACUAGUUCUGCACCAUCACCAUCUUCAAAAAAAGUGAGGGAUUCUAAAGAUUUUAAAUACACUUCUACUACUGUUGGGCACAGAUCCAGAAGUCAGACAAAACAAAUUCAGCAUGCGACCUCUAAGGUUAAUACUGGGAGUUUCAGAAGAAAACCAAUGUUGUCAUCAUGUGAGUAUUGUGGGAGAUAUCAUUGGGGAGAAUGUCGACUAAAUUCCCGAGCUUGUUUUCAAUGUGGAUCAAAAGAUCAUUUAAUCAGGGAUUGUCCAAAAAUGUCAGAAAGCGUUGCAGAACAGUCUGAAAAAGGUAGCUCGGUUUCACAAAGAGGUAAACGACCUGGAAUUGCUGGUGGCACUAAUAGUGGUACAAGAUCAGUGAGAGAAACAGUUAGAUCUGAAGCACGGGCACCUACCAGGACGUAUGCCAUUCGAGCCAGAGAAGAUGCUUUUGCUCCAAACGUCAUUACUGGUACAUUUUCUUUACUUGAUACUAAUAUUAUUACUUUGAUUGAUCCUGGUUCUACACAUUCAUACAUAUGUACAAAGUUAGCAUCUGUUAAAAAUUUACCUGUUGAAUUCACUGGAUUUGCGGUUAAAGUUUCAAAUCCCCUUGGCCAACAUGUUAUAGUGGAUAAAAUUUGUAAAAAUUGUCCAUUGAUGGUAAAGGGUUAUCGUUUUCUAGCUGACUCGAUGCUAUUGCCUUUUGAUGAAUUUGAUGUGAUUUUGGGAAUGGAUUGGCUAACUCAACAUUAUGUAGUAGUGAAUUGUAAACAGAAGUACAUUGUAAUAAAAUGUCAGAAUUGUGAAUUGCUCCAGGUUGAAUUUGAUGAAUUAAAUGAGUUGCCUGAUGUGAUUUCAGUCAUGACAGCAUUGAGGUAUGUCAGAAAAGGGUGUAAUGCAUAUCUUGCUUAUGUAUUGGACACUAAAGUAUCUGAGUCAAAAGUUCAAUCAGUGCCGGUUGUAUGUGAAUUUCCUGAUGUGUUUCCAGAAGAAUUACUUGGGUUACCACCAGAAAGAUAGGUAGAAUUUUCUAUAGAUUUAGUUCCAGGAACAACUCCGAUCUCUAUAGCACCUUAUAGAAUGGCUCCUACCGAGUUGAAAGAGUUGAAAGCACAGUUGCAAGAGCUUACUGACAGGGGUUUUGGUCAACCUAGUCAUUCACCUUGAGGUGCUCCGGUUUUGUUUGUGAAAAAGAAAGACGGGUCUUUGAGACUAUGUAUCGAUUACAGGCAGCUCAAUAAAGUUACAGUAAAGAAUAAGUAUCCAUUGCCUCGGAUUGACGACUUGUUUGAUCAACUAAAGGGUACCACUGUAUUUUCAAAGAUUGAUCUUCGAUCGGGUUACUAUCAGUUACAAGGAAAGGAGUCUGAUGUACCGAAGACAGCUUUUAGAACCAGGUAUGGGCACUAUGAGUUCCUCGUGAUGCCGUUUGGAUUGACAAAUGCACCUGCUGUAUUCAUGGACCUGAUGAAUAGAAUAUUCAGACCGUACUUAGACAGGUUUGUGGUAGUAUUUAUUGAUGAUAUUCUGGUUUAUUCUUGAGAUGAAAAUGAGCAUGCAGAUCAUUUGAGAAUUGUACUGCAAACUUUGCGUGAAAAGUGGUUGUAUGCUAAAUUUAGUAAAUGUGAGUUUUGGCUUCGGGAAAUUGGGUUUCUUGGACAUAUUGUAUCUGCUGAAGGCAUCAGGGUAGACCCAAGUAAGAUUUCAGCUAUUGUCAAUUGGAAUCCGCCGAAGAAUGUGUCCGAAGUUAGAAGUUUCCUGGGAUUAGCUGGAUAUUAUAGGAGAUUUGUACAGGGAUUUUCUACGAUAGCUUCUCCGAUGACACGUCUAUUGCAGAAAGAUGUAAAGUUCGAAUGGACUGAUGAAUGUCAGCAGAGUUUUGAUAGAUUGAAAGAUCUAUUGAUGAAAGCACAUGUUUUAGUACAACCUGAACCGGGUAAGGAAUUUAUUAUUUAUAGUGAUGCUUCAUUAAAUGGUUUAGGUUGUGUUUUAAUGCAAGAAGGUAAAGUAAUAGCCUAUGCUUCAAGACAACUAAAACCACAUGAAAAGAAUUACCCGGUACAUGAUCUUGAAUUAGCAGCCAUUGUGUUUGCAUUGAAAAUAUGGCGCCAUUACUUGUAUGGUAAAAAAUAUCAUAUCUAUACCGAUCAUAAAAGUUUAAAGUAUUUGAUGACACAGAAAGAUUUGAAUUUGCGACAGCGUAGGUGGCUUGAGUUGCUAAAGGAUUAUGAUUUGGUUAUUGACUAUCAUUCAGGUAAGGCUAAUAUAGUUGCUGAUACUUUGAGCUGAAAAUCUUUAUUUGCUUUACGAGCUAUGAAUACUCAGUUGCCAUUGUCUGAUGAUGGUACACUUAUAGCUGAACUGAAAGCUAAACCAAUGUUUCUACAGCAAAUUUGUGAAGCUUAGAAAAGUGAUAAUGAAUUACAAGCUAAACGGGUGCAGUGUGAAUCGGGUACUGAUUCAAAAUUUCAGAUUAGAUUUGAUGGUUGUUUACUAUUUAGAGGCAGGGUAUGUGUACCAAAGAAUUCAGAGCUUACACAGAAGAUUUUGCUCGAAGCUCACAGUGGUAUUAUGUCUAUACAUCCGGGGAGUAACAAAAUGUAUAAUGAUCUAAAAAGGAUGUAUUGGUGGCCAGGGAUGAAACGUGAUAUUUCUGAGUUUGUAUCGAGAUGUUUGAUAUGUCAACAGGUUAAAGCUGAACAUCAGGUACCUUCGGGAUUACUACAGCCAAUUACGAUACCGGAAUGGAAAUGGGAAAGGAUCACAAUGGACUUUGUGUCGGGAUUACAUUUGUCUCCGAAUAAGAAAGAUGCUAUUUGGGUAAUCGUUGACCGGUUGACAAAGUCAGCACACUUUAUACUGGUACAUAUGGAUUUUUCUUUAGAUAAGUUGGCUGAAUUAUAUGUAUAUGAGAUUGUCAGGUUACAUGGGGUACCAGUCUCUAUUAUUUUGGAUAGAGAUCCUCGGUUCACGUCUCGUUUCUCGGACAAGUUGUAAGAAACAUUGGAGACUCAGUUGCAUUUCAGUACUGUUUUUCAUCCUCAGACAGAUGGCCAAUCUGAACAUGUAAUUCAGGUAUUAGAGGACAUGCUUCGAUGUUGUGUACUAGAGUUUGAAAGUAGUUGGGAAAGGUAUUUACCUUUGAUUGAGUUUGCCUACAACAAUAGUUAUCAGUUUAGUAUUAAAAUGGCACCGUAUGAAGCUUUGUAUGGUCGGAAAUGUAAAACACCAUUAUGUUGGACUGAACUGAGUGAGAAAAAGAUACAUGGAGUUGAUUUGAUUAAGGAAACCGAAGAGAAAGUAAAGGUGAUCCGAGAUAGCUUGAAAGCAGCUUCUGAUCGACAAAAGUCAUAUGCUGAUCUUAAAAGGAAGGAGAUAGAAUUUCAGGUCGGCGACAAGGUAUUCUUGAAAGUAUCACCUUGGAAAAGAGUCAUUCGAUUCAGUCGUAAAGGUAAAUUGAGUCCACGUUUUAUUGGGCCAUAUGAUGUAACGGCCUAAUUUUCAGUGGUGUCAAAAAUGGUGAUUUGAGAUCACUAAAUUCGACAAAUAAGAUUGAACAAGAUAGUAAUUUAAUAUUUAUGAGUCAAGUAAGAAUUUAGAAGAAUUUGUGAAAUGGUGAAAUUAGUGAAUUAAAAGAAUUUAUUAGGUCAAACGGGUCAAAAAUGAGGUAUCGAGACCUCAAAAUUGAAAAUCAAGCUAUAAAUAUUUUUAUAAAUAUUUAUGGAGUGUCAUUGAGUUAGUAUUAAAGUUUCGUUAGAAAAUUUUAACGUUUGGAUGGCUAAUUAAUUAAAAAGGACUAAAUUGAAAAUAGCACAAAAUUUGUUAAAUUGUGAGUAAAUAGCUUAAGUAUUUAAAAAGAUGGAUUUAAAGAGCAAUUAGACCCAAAGGUUAAUGGCUGGACGGUUUGGGUAUGAAAUAAGCAAGAAAACAAUGUGAACAAGGGGCAAAAUUGGAAAUAGCAUAAAAGUUAAUAGUUAAAUAAUGAUGUAAUUGAAAAAUCUAGACAUUUCUUCAUAUUUUCUCAGCCAAAACGCCAUAUAAGGUCUGGAGAAAGCUGGUUUUUCAUAUUUUUACAUCAUGUGAGUUUAAUUCUUGCUUUUUCUUGAUAAUUUUUAUGGUUUUAUGACUUUUACAAUUAGGUCCCCUUAUAGAAUUCAUUAGUUUUUUAUUUUAUGGGUGAAAUUGGAAGUUACCCUAGAUGGAUAAGGGAAUUUUAUGAUUAAUUAUUAUGAAAUUUAAGUUCUAAUUUCAUAUUAAGGUGGUUUUAUUAAGUGAUUUUGAUAGGAAAUGAUAUUUAGGACCUAAUUGUGAAAAAGUUGUGAAUAGAAGGUUGCUGUUGAAAUUAAGAAUAUAAAAGGUUUUGAAAUAGUUUAUAAUGAUAAAAUAAAGUGUUAAUUGAGAAAAAUUAGUUCAAUUGAUGGGUGAAUUGAGCAGGGACUAAAUUGUGAAAACUAUAAAUUUUGGGGUAAAAGUACAAUUUCAAAAUUUGAACAGCAUAAAUUGUGAAGUGAAAUAGAAAUCAAAUAAAUGCUAAUGAGUAGAAAUAUUUUAUAUUAUAGAUCAAGAAUCCAAAGAAGAACGAGGAAAAAAAAAGUUGCGGAAUAGUCCCUAAAUUUCAAUAUCUUCUACAAAUUAGCCGGGUAAGUUCAUAUGGUUGAAUUUAGAUGUUUAUUUGUGAAUGAUUGAAGUAUAUAAUGUGUUAUUAUAUAUGAAUUUGUUGUGGGAUUGUGUAGAUUUUGUUAAUGAAAGAAUAAAUGUGGAAAUGCAAAUUAGGAAAAACGCAGGAUUGAGUACGUUCGUAUCGUGACGUGUGAUGAAUUGACGGAUAAGACCAUGGUUUUUCCAUGACAAAGUGUGAAAUGUAGGUAUGGUAUCAUCCAUACUGAGUUGUGAAAUGUAGGUAUGGUAUUAUCCAUACUGAGCUGUGAAAUGUAGAUAUGGUAUUAUCAAAUCCAUACUGAGUUAAGAAAUGUAGGUAUGGCAUUUCCCAUACCGAGUUGAAAAAUGUAGGUAUGGUAUUUCAAUGAGGAAAACCAUACUGAGUUGUGAAUCGUGGCAUUGAGCAACGAGGUACUCAAUUUCGUAAGCCGUUUCCUAAUUUGAUUAUAAGAAAUAAAAUAGAAGUGAUCCAAAUGAAAGAGAUUGAGUAGUUGUUACUGUUGAGCUCAACUAUGUGAAUUAUUAUAAUAAUGGUUGUGAAUCGCAGGAAACUUUAGUAAAUAUUUUGGUAUUGUUUGGAAAUAUUAUGUUUGGUAAGCAUUACUUUUAAACCUAUGAACUUACUAAGCUUCAAUAAGCUUACUUGUGUGUGUUUAAUAUUUUUAUGUAGAUUGGCUUGAAGUGAAGUGGGUAGAUCGGAUCAACACAACAAAGCACACUAUCCAGAUCAAUUCCGGUAGAUUUUUUUUUUAUGUUUGAAGAUUUAUAUGGCAUGUAUAGAGUUUAAAUGAAAUGAAGUAAAUAUGUUAUAAACUAGUUAACAACAUUUUGUACUAAAACAGUUUUUGGUUAGUAGCAGUAGUUUGAGUUUGAAAAUUUACCAUAAAUCAUGAAAAUCUAAUUAGAAGUUGAAUAAAAUAUGAAAUAAAAUCUUAUUGAAUCUAGUUUCACAUGGAAGAAACAGUGUAAGCAAAAGGCUUUCAUAUCAGGAGAUAUUUGAAUUUUUGUGAGACAAGGUCAGAGUGAUUUUGAACUCCCCUGUUCUGAAUUGUAAAAAUCAUUAAAAAUUGUAAAAAAAAAUUAAUUAUGAGUCAUUCUAUAUAUUUAUGGAUUCCUUAUUGAGUCUAUUUUUAAGAGAAACAAACGGCUUGGUUAUUUGAAUUCUGUACAUGGAGAAAUUUGGUUCGUAGUGCACAGGGGUUAGAGCAGCCGAACCCUGAAACAGGGGAGACUUCAACUAAUAAACUGUACUAAUUGGCCCAACCAAAAAUUCUAGAAAAUAAUUAGUAAGUAUAUAUAUGAGCCUAGAUUCAUGGAAAAUUUACGGAUUUGGAUUUCGAGUUUUUUAACUCGAGAUAUGAUUUUUUUUGCGUCUGUAACGCAGUUGGACAGCUUGUCUAGAAAGUGUGAUAUAAAUUGUUUGAAUCUGUUUAAGUGCUCAAAUAAGUUUAGUAAUGCCUCGUGCUCGACUCCGGCGAUGGACUCGGGUAAAAGGGGCGUUACAUAUGAGGUUACUGAAUGAAUCGGACCUGUUACAUACCGGUUAGCUUUGCCUCCGAAACUUGAUAGAAUUCAUAAUGUUUUCCAUGUGUCUAUGUUACGGCGGUAUCGGUCAGAUCCUUCACAUGUUAUUUCUCCGAAAGAGAUUGAGAUUCAACCUGAUAUGACUUACGGUGAAGAACCGGUCAAAAUUUUGGCACGGGAGACAAAAGAAUUAAGAAACAAAAAGAUAGAUCUGGUGAAAGUUCUUUCGUAACGACACGAAAUUGAAGAGGCUACCUGGGAACCGAAGGAGGCAAUGAGGAAACAAUACCCAAAUCUCUUUACUGGUAAGAUUUUCGAGGACGAAAAUCCUUAAGGGGGGAAGAGUUGUAAUGACCCAUUUUCAGUAAGAUCGGAAUAAUGGUUUCGUGACCACAAAUUCGAUCUAGAAGAAAAUUUAUUUUAAUAUUGUGGCAUAGUCUAUAUUACGAUAGGAAUACUGCAUGAAAAUUUUGAUAGGAAAAUUUUAUUGAUUAUAUAGUUAAAUUGAUAAAAAGAGAAAAGAAAGAAAAAAAUGCAUUCUCGGGACUCCGUUCCGAUAAAUUGGAUUCGUAAAUAUUUAUUAUAAAUAUUUACUAAGUUAGUUGUGUGUCUAAUUAGGUUUUGAUUAGGUGAAUUAGACUUAAUUAGAAGUAAUUAGGAAAAAGGAUUAGAUUGAAAUAAGUGUGAAAGUUUAAUUAUAGAUUAAAGAAAAUAAAAAGGACUAAAUAGGUAAAUAUGCCAUUAUUAUAAAAUGAGGUGGCUUAAUGUUAAAAGAAAAAAAAAUCUAAGAUAUUUUUGAUAUAUAAUAUAUUAUAUUAUUAUAUUAUAUAUAAUAUAAUAUAUAAAACAUAAAGUAAAGUAAAGUAAAGAAACAGAAUAAAAAGAAGAAACACAAUAGAAUAGCAGGGACGAAAUAGAGAAAAAGGGAGAAAGAAAAAGAAAAUUUGGGAUUUCAAGGGUUCAAAUUCAAUUUGGUAAGUUAAUUUAAUUCAUUUUCUUGUAAUUAUUGAGUUUUUAUGAUCAUAGAACAAAAUACUAUUAGGUAUAUGUUGAAAUUUUGAAAGUUAGUAGGUUUUUUUUAUAUAGUUUAUGUUGAAUUUAUGGAUAAAUUAGAGACUGAACUUAUGAAAAAUUCAAAUUAGAAUUGAGAAAAAAGAUUGAAUUGUGAAAUAGAUUGCAAUAAGGAAUAAAUUAUAAGAAGUUUGAAAUUGGGGUUUAUUAGUGAAAAUUUGGGAGUUAAACUAAGUUAUAAGUAGAAUUUAAAUAAAAAUAAAGUAUAGAUUGUAAUAGAAAUGUAAAUAAUUUUAGUUAUGGAAUAAAUUGAAAUGUAGGUUAAUGUAAGAAAUAUGAAUUUAUUAUAUCAUACAUGUUCAUUUUUUUAAUAGCAUCGGAAAGUCAUUUAAUUAUUUUUCUCUAACAUAUAAAUGUUAUAUGUUUUAUAUGAAAUUGAAGAGAAAGAAAAGAAAGGAGAGGACCUAAUUGAAGAAAAAGGAAAAGAAAAAGCUAAGGAAUGAAAGAAGACAUCAUCUCAAUCUUUUUGUUGUAAGUACUACAAGAUUUUUUUUAAAUUAAUUUUAUUUAGAUGCUUAUAUUGUAGUAUAGAAUUAUUUAGAAAUAAAAAUGUAAUAUAUAUGUAUAUAUUUAAAUUUAUAAGUAAAUAAAUAAUAAUUGUAAUGGACCAAAUUUGCCCGGCCCGUAUAAAGAAAAGAAACAAAACGAAAAUACAAAAAACAAAAUCACAAAAAAAAAUAUGUAUACCACAGUCCAGGUCUUUGGUACAAAGCAGCCCAAAUACAUUAACCCUAGCCCGAUACCCAUCAUGAGCCCAAAUCGAAACAAGCCCAAUAGGCCCAUUCCCUUAACAGCUCCAGAAACCUUAGGUCCCCCCCUCUUUUCGUUUUGUGCCACAACCAAGAAGCAGUCCCAUACCUCCACAGCCCUCGUAUGCCACGCCUGCACCCCGUACGAAUGCCAACAGACUCUGUACCUGCAAGAAGGAAACAAAAACAGCAGCGAAUGGAAACAAGUAUAUUGUAUUUUUUCGAUUUAUUUCCUUUUUCGACUAUAAAAGCCCAGCUUUUAAUCUUUGUAAAGGAAGAGAGGAGAAGAAGAGGAAAGCAUUUUUUUUCACGAAUACACAACAAGCAAUAAAAAAGAGCAAACACAAACACAAAAGGAAAAUCAAUACAAAAAAGCUUUUCUAAAAAAGGUCUCCACAAGGUGAUUCUCAUUUUUUUCUUCCGAUUUAGUUUAUGUUUUUUUGAUUGAUCUAUCGCAUGAAAAACGAAUAAAAGAGAGGGCGAAUCAAAUAUAAAGAAAUCAAUUUUGUUUAAAGAAAAAGCGAGGAGAGCCUUAUCUUGCAGAUAUGCCAAAGGUUCCUCUCGUUGAAAUCGAAGUUGAAAAGAGAUCUCAAGGCUGAAAAGUUCUCCACCAUUGGUAGGUUCAGGCCGUCGUCGGCGCUUUCGGCCACCGGAUCUGGUGGUGGUUCGACUGCUGUAAGUUUAUGGACUGAAACCUAGUUGAGGGUUAGGAAUUUGGGAGGUCUGUGCUUAAGAAAAUGGUUUUGUAAGCUUUUAAAAUAUAAAUGUAUAAUAAAAGCUAUUAAUUUUAAAGUGGUGCAAUUAAGAAGUUGGAAACCGCGUGUUGACCUGCUCAUUAGCUGGAAUUGCACAUUUCCAUCUAAAAGGGGUAAUUUAUGCGGACAGUCCCUCCCAUUUGUACCACUUUUAAUUUAAUCCUAUCCCAUGUCUUUCAUCUUUGCCCAGAACUUUGCGUGCUACUCCAAUUUAGUCAGCGCUUAAGCAUUUCGUUUUGGAAUUGGGACUAUUUUCAUUUUUAAUCCUUGGCCAUUUGAGCGCCUUACACUUUGGUCCUUUCAACGGUUUAUUCUAUUUGUUAAUUAUCUCUUUUAAUUUGCUUUUAUCUCAAUUAAGUUGUUUAUUUUUGGCAUAGUUCAUUCUUUUUCUUUCUUUUCGUUUGGCAUUCAUCUUUUUUUUUAUAUUUUUAAAUUACUUUAAUGAUUUGUUAUUAUUAUUUAAUUAUAAAGCUAUUAUUUUAAAAUUACCUUGUAUAUCAUAUUGUUUCUAAAACUUUGUAUAAUAUUUAAAUUAAUCUUAUAUUAAUACAUAUAUGAGUUAUGACAAAAUUAGUUUUACUUUAUACACAUUAUUAGUUCCAUGUUAUUUUACAUAUAUAUAUUUAAUCUAUUUAUUUGUAUUUCCUUUCAAAUUUAUCAUAUAUAUAGUUUAUUCUUUGGAAAAUAUGUUUUAUUAUUUCCUUGUUAUUUAAGACUAUUUUAUAUAUAUAUUAUUUUAUUUGUUAUUCUGUCAUGCAUAUAGUCUUCUUUAUAUAUAUAAGCAUGUUUUUAAAUCCAUUAUACAAUUUGUUAUAAAAUUAAUUUAAGCUUGUAGGUAUUUCUAUGUUUUUACAAAUUAUUAUUAUUAUUAUUAUUUUAGUUAUUUAUGCAUAUAUAUUUUGUGAAUCUAUUUAGUGCAUUAUAUCUUGUCAUAUAUCUCUAUUAUUCUUUCAUAUUAUAUACAUUAUUUAAAUUAUCAUGUACAUUGUCAAAUUUUAAAUGCACUUGUGUCUAAAAUAUUUUACACGCAAUUUGAUUCAAAUUUUUAUUCUAUAAUAUCUAUUCCGAAAAUCCUAUAGCUAUCCCUAGUUUUCAUACAAAUUUGUCAACCUAUAUAUAUGAGUCCAUUUAUUCAUUAUUAUUUUAAAACCGUUUUAUAGCAAAUUGGCUUCUAACUGCUAUGUUGUUUUUAUAUCUUGCAUUGAUUACUCUAUAUCAUGCUAUGUACAUUAUUGGGGCAUAUUAUUAUAUGCAUUGUUUUGCUUGUGUGAUUGUUAUGUUAUCAUUUUCGUCAUGGUAUUAUUAUAUCAACUAUUCUCCAUGUAUUAUUGUAAUUGGGUUGCAUUUUUAGGAUAGUUAUAUUUAAUUAUUAGUUUGUUAAUUGAUUGUAUCUCCUAUGUGCCUAUUACCGCAUAUCAUCAUUUUUCACUUGGUUUGUGAAAUGUGGUUCUAUAAAACCCAAAUUUUAUGAUUAAUUUCGUCUUAUUUCAAAUCGAAUUAAUACGUCUUAAGCUAGCUUUAUAAUCAUUCAUUCAAAAAUUCUUUAAAAUGAAGGCGAGAUUUGAUAUUUGGCAAUUCGCGGAAUCGUGCCCUAACGUGUUGGGUUGCAAUUUCGUGUUUGCUCAAAAUAAUCGAAUAUCACUUCAAAAUAUCACUCAUAUCUUUUAAAAAUCCCUUAAACGAAGGCGAUAUGCGAUAUUUGGCAACUCGUGGAAUUGUGCCCUAACGUGUUGGGUUGCAAUUUCCCGUUUGUUUAAAAUAAUCAAAUAUUCCUUCAAAAUUUCACUCAGGUCUUUUAAAAAUCCAUUAAAAUGAAGAUAAUACUCGGUGUUUGACAAUCCGAGAAUCAUGCCCUAUCGUGUUGGAUUGUGAUUUCUCGCUUGUUCAAAACAAUCGAAUAUUCCUCUAGGCUUUCGUUCAUGUUUAUUAAAAACCUUUCAAAACGAAGGCGAUGUUCGAUGUCUGGGGACUUGAGAAUCGAGCCCUAUUGUACUGGGUUGCGCUUUUUCAUUCGUUCAAAAUAAUCUAAUAUCCCUUCAGAAUUUCACUCAUGUUUUCUAAGGUGAGACAAUGUUCGAUGUUUGUAAAUUCGAGGAAUCGUGCCCCACUGUGUUGGGGUUUCAGUUUUUCGUUGGACCAAAUAGUUGGGCAUCCUUCUGUUAAUUUCAAAUUAUAAACUUUCGGACGUCGAAACAAGAAGAUUUUUGGCAAUCAACUCGGGUUAUUCAAAUGUUAUUUAAAAAGAACCACGAUUCAAAAACAUUUUUAAUUUUAGACAUAAGGACAGUAUCUAAUCGAUUUGGUACCAAUUUUGGGCGUUAUGAGGGUGCUAAUCUUUCCUCAUACGUAACCGACUCCCGAGCCCGUUUUCUCAUAAUUUUCGCAGACCAGCAUAAUUAUUUUAGUAAAUAAAAAAUGUUUCAUUAAAAUAACCAAAUUCUUAGGUGACCCGAUCACACCUAAACAAGAAAAGAUUGGUGGCGACUCUAUUUUAGCUUUCCAAAAUAUCGAUCCAUUAUUUUUUAAAUUGAAAUAAAAAAUGGUUUCGACAGCUUGGCGACUCCGCUGGGGAUGAAUGAGAGUCGAGCCAUAAAAAUCAAUUAUUUACUGUCCUUUUAUCGAAAACUGAAAAUUUACUUUAAAAAUCAUGUAUCUUUCGAUUGCAUUUGAUUGUGUGAUUGCCUUACUGCGGGUCUUGUAAAAUAGCACUGCAUUUCAUUGCAUGACCACUGUGAUCACACCUUCUAAGUGAGAGUAAAAAAAUACGCUUUCAUGAGGUUUUCACCUCUGCAUGGGCUAGUGGAUUGCUUCCGGGGUACAUCUGUACCUAUGAUUUCGUGAGAUUUUCAUCUCCGCAUGGUCAUAGGGAAAUGUAUCCCCCUGAACUGAACUCGAUCUAUAUGAGCCUAUAAUGGGUGAGGAUUGAGGAAUCUACUGGUUCGGGUACCUUAUCUCUAGAACUAAACCGCAUAUAGUGAACCUUAGGAACCAUCCUUGGGUGAAGCCACAUCGAGCCUUAGUACUUACCCGUAUAUGCAUCAUAGUUAUCGUUUAUGUGCUUGCAUUCUAUCGCUAUUAUUUGACACUAACCGGUGUUUUGUUUUGUUUUGUCAUUUUUGCAUAACAUUACAUACUAAAGGAGGCGUUAAUUCGUAUUCAAUUAUUAAGUUAGAAAAUUUGACAUGGAGAAUGAAUUUCUUAGUAAAGUCGAGGAUAAUGCGGCCGUUCGUGCAUGGUCGGAGAGGCUACGAUCAGAGAGAGGGGAUAGCUUCGUAGAAGGGUAUGUAUCGGAGCUGCAAGAUUUCACUCGCGUCAAUGUAGUACAGAACGAGCUACAAGAGUUGAGAGACAUUUGGGCUAGUUGGAAUGAAGGAAUCAAGUAAUUGUUUUACCAAAAUUAUGGUGACGUAUCCUACCUGCUAGAUAUUAGAGUGGAUAAGCAUUUGUUCCGAGCCUUGGUGCAGUUUUGGAAUUCUGUAUACAAAUGUUUCACUUUUGGAGAAGUGGAUUUGGUACCUACCAUGGAGGAAUACACUACUUUGCUCAGGUGUCCCAAAAUUCAGGUCCGGAAGACUUAUGCUCGAGUUUUUAGUAGUCAGACUUUCGUGAAGAAACUGAUUAGCAUUUCUGGGAUGAGCGAGCCUUGGGUCACUGCUUGGAUUUAGCAAAAAGGAGAUAGCAAAUGUAUCCAUUGGGAGAAUUUGCGAGAUUUGAUCUUGACACAUCCAGAUGAAAGAAAGAGGGUUGAUAUAUUUGCCUUAAGCAUCUACGGAUUAGUGAUAUUUCCUAAGGCUUUGAGGCACGUGGAUCGAGGCGGUCAUUGACUUGUUUGAUCGCCUUGAAAAGGGAAUCACACCGGUACCGAUAAUAUUGGCAGAAACGUUCAGAUCUUUGAGCUCAUGUCGGAAGACAGGCGAGGGGCGAUUUAUUGGAUGUGCGCAAUUAUUGAUGGCAUGGUUCCACGGGCACUUUUGGAAGGUAGAUAAAGUUUCCUAUCUAGUCUUCUCCGAGGGUUAUUCCCCGUUGAAAGAAGAGGCAGCUAUACAAAGGAGAGAGGAUAUCUUAGAGGAGAAGUGGACGGACAUUCUUCAGAACCUCAAGGUGGGGGAUAUCAAGUGGAGAGCUUAUUGGAUGGUUCCUGACGAGAUCAUGUACCGAUGUGGUAGCUUUGAUUGGGUGUCAUUGUUAGGAAUUUGGGGAGCUACCGGGUAUACUCUGCUGUUAGCCUUGAGGCAAUAUAAGUCAAGGCAGUUUGUACCCACAACCUAUGGGCUUGCUCAGAGUGAAUUCUCAUUUAAAGGUGCUCAGAAGAGAGUUCGGGAGUUAUCGGAUGCUUGGAAGCAAACUUGUUAGAUGAAGAGGUUAGCCGUCGGUUCCAUGGUAACGCCCGAGUAUAGCAAGUGGUUUAAAAAGAGGAUUAAUGAUAAUAUUCCUAUGCCAAGCUUGGAGAAUACUCGACCAAUCGAGGAACAAUUAUAAGUCACCCCAUUAGAAUUGGAAAUUAUAAGGCAAGAUUUCGAGAAGAAGAGUUCGGAGCUCGGGAAGAAAAUUGAACAGUUGGAGGAAGAGAAGAUGCAUCUAAGGUUAGAUGCUGAUGUUCAGAGGUCAGAAGCUGAGAAAUGGAGAAAAGGAAAAACUAAGGCCGAAGAAGACCUGGACAGCUUAAAGAUAGACUACAAGAAGCUGCGCCUAUCUAUGAAGACUGUGGGUUUAGGUAAGACUUCCGAACAAUGGCGCCACAAAAUUCGAGAAGAAAAAGCCAAUACUGAUCGGUGGGAAAAAAAAUUUCGAGAAGCUCAAUCACGAAACGAAGAUUUGGAGAAGAGUCUGUCGGAAAGUAGAAAUGAGCGAGCGGAAUUAAGGGCUAGAGUGGCAGAACUCGAGAAGUCUUUGCAUCAAUACCAAAACCGUAACACCGCAAUAAAGUUGAGGGCAAGCUUGAACAAGAUAGAAGAAAUGAAAGGAAAGAUAGAAGAUUUAAAGGCGUCACUGCAGAACUGCGAGAUGCGGAUCCAAUUUUUUAAGGCAAACGAGGAUCGUUGGAAAGAACAGCUUCAUCAUGUGCAAGACCAAGUCAGAAACAGAGAUCACCUUAUGGGGGAAGCCAUAACCCAGAUUCGAGAAGUAGCGGACUACUUGCAAACUUUAGCGGUUCAAGCGGAAACACUGAGCUUGAAGUAUGAAUUAAAGUCAGACCGCGGACAAGGGCUGGCCUCGUUGCUUAGAAAAAUUAGGACUUUGAGUGUUAGAGCGAGAUUUUAUCUAUAACUCGGCCUUAUGUAAAAGAUUUUAUUUUCAAAGUGAAAUUUUAUAAGGGCAAUUGAAUCAAAAUUGAUGCCUCCUUUGCAUUCAUAUAUUUGCAUUACAUCAUAUCAUCAUGCAUUAAAGGCCAUAAGAGUUUUCUAAUUAAUUAAUUAAAAAUUAUUUCAGUAAUCUGGAAACCAACGAAAACCAACCAACCUCGCAUCCCUACGGUACGAGAAAAAAAUCAAUGGAUAAGAGACUUGAGAAAUUGGAGUAAAUGCAAAACGACAUGCAAGAACAAAUGCAGUCCCAGAUGGAAGAGCAGCUAGCCAAAAUUCAACGAGAGAUGAAGGAGCAAAUGAUGGAGUCUCAGAGAGAGAUGAUGUCCCAGUUAUCCAAAUUACUGCUGGGAGGAAUGGAUAAGGGAAAGGGCCUCAUGGACCAAGUUGAGGAAACCAAUGAAGACCUCCAAUACCCCCCCGGCUUUACUCCGAUGCAUAUACCGAUGAAGCCCGAGAUUAACCUACAAAAACCAUCAGUCACAAUCAUGCCUCAGCAAGUUCAAGCCGGAGCUUCAAUUCCGAUGAACUUCCAAACCGGCUCAGGCUCUAACUUUGUCAACAACCCGAACUAUCUGCCCAUUCCCGACUUGGAUGAAGUGGCUGAAGAGGAAAAGGCGAGGAUGGAUUCGCAAAAACAAUUAGAAGAACGAUGUAGAUGGCUUGAAGAGAAAUUCAAAGCCAUAGAGAGCGCGAAUCAUCAUCAAGAGAUUGAUGCUAAGCAUCUGAGCCUGGUCCCAGAUUUAGUUCUCCCCCCUAAAUUCAAAAUGCCUAAAUUCGAGAAAUACAAUGGAACAAGCUGCCCUGAAGCCCACAUCACCAUGUUCUGCAGGCGAAUGACGGGAUAUGUUAACAAUGACCAGUUACUAAUCUACUGCUUUCAAGAUAGUCUGGUUGGAGCAGCGUCUAAGUGGUACAAUCAACUGAGCCGAGCCAAAAUUAACUCAUGGAAAGACCUGGCUUAGGCCUUUAUGAAGCAAUACAAUCAUGUGGCGGACAUGACCCCCGACAGGAUCACUCUCUAGAAUAUGGAGAAAAAGUCAAAUGAAAGCUUCAGACAGUAUGCACAAAGGUGGAGAGAGGUGGCCAUACAAGUUCAGCCGCCACUUCUAGAAAAAGAGACAACAAUGCUCUUUAUUAACACAUUGAAAGCCCCUUUUAUCACUCAUAUGUUGGGAAGCGCCACCAAAAGCUUCUCUGACAUAGUGAUGACGGGAGAAAUGAUCGAAAAUGCUGUAAGGAGCGGCAAGAUAGAAUCGGGAGAGAGUGCUAGGAAGUCAGCCCCGAGGAAAAAGAACAAUGAAGUGAACAACACGAGCACAUUCAACAAGGGGCAGCCCAAAUCAUUUACCGUAAAUCAACCCAAAACAAUGACCACUAAUCAACAAAGCCCUGCAAGACAAGAAUCCAAUGCAAGAAAGAACACAGAAAGGCCACAAUUCACCCCUAUACCAAUGACGUAUAGGGAGUUGUACCAGAACCUGUUCAACGUUCAUGCGGUAUCACCUUUCUACCUUGAGCCAGUGCAGCCCCCGUAUCCCAAAUUGUAUGACACAAACCCCCAAUGUGAAUACCACACAGGAAUUACCGGGCAUUCAAUCGAAAAUUGCACUGCGUUCAAGAAAGUGGUCGAAAGACUCAUUAAGGUGGGAAUCGUGAGAUUUGAUGACCCAGCUACGCCUAACGUAGCAGGAAACCCACUCCCCAAUCACACCGACCAAGGAGUGAACAGGAUAAGUGAAGGCAAAAAUAAGAAGAUUAAGUGUGAGGUUGCGAAAAUCAGGACUCCGUAGAGAUAAGUGUGGAGGGAGAUGGUUAAGAGAGGUUUGAUCACGUUGGAUUUGGGAAGAGAAUCUAAAGAAGAGAGGAACUACUGCGAGUUCCACAACGAGGUGGGGCAUGAAAUCUAAGAGUAUGUCGAGUUCAGGGCCCUAGUGCAGAACAUGAUAAACAAUAAGGAAAUGGAAUUCUAUGAAGAGACUAAAAACCCUGUAGAGGGAGACAUAUGUGCGUCGGAGGGAGAGUCGAUGGCACAAAAUCAAACAGUUAACUACUCCGUGGUUAUCAUAUUGAGACCCAAAAAUAAUGAAGCUAGAGUUCAACUACCACCAAGGGUCAUAAUCCAAAGACCUGCAGUCUUCCCCUACAAAUAUAGUAAAAGGGUCCCAUGGAAUUAUGAUUGUAAUGUGACAAUUCUGGGGAAAGAAAACCUAGUCGACACUUUAAAAAAGGACCAAGAUAGGGGCUCCUAUACAUGUAGCGGGAGACGUUACGAUACAGCGAGCGAGAAGGCACAACCCGUAAAAGGAAAAGCCCUAGUGGUCGAAUGGGUGGAGGAAAAAACGACCAAAUCUGAACUUCCUGUCAAUGAGCUAGUUAACGAAGAAGAGGCUGAGGAGUUUUUAAAAUUCCUAAAGCAUAGUGAACACAGCGUGGUAGAACAGCUACGUAAACAACCAGCUCGUAUCUUAGUACUGGCCUUACUUCUAAGCUCGGAAGUUCAUCGCAACGCGCUAAUAAAGGUCUUGAAUGAAACAUAUGUUGUCAAUGAUAUCUCCGCUAACAAACUGGAUCGUCUGGUUAGUAACAUAAGUGUCGACAACUAUAUCUUCUUCAAUGACGAUAAGAUACCACCCGGUGGCAUGGGGUCGACUAAAGCACUGCACAUUACCACGCGCUGUAAAGGGUAUACGCUGCCAAGUGUACUGAUUGACAACGGAUCAGCUUUGAAUAUCCUGCCAUUGACCACACUAAACAGAUUACCUAUGGACAGCUCUCACAUGAAGGAGUGCCAGAACAUAGUAAAAGCAUUUGAUGGCACGGAGAGAAAGGUGAUGGGCAAAAUUGAGGUACCUCUUCAGAUUGGGCCAAACAUAUAUGAGGUGGAUUUCCUAGUAAUGGAUAUCAAGCCCUCAUAUAAUUGCUUAUUGGGGAGGCCCUGGAUACAUUCAGCUGGGGCAGUGCCUUCCUCUUUACAUUAAAAGUUGAAGCUGGUAUCAGAGGGGAGGUUGAUAACGAUCAAUGCUGAAGUGGAUAUCAUUGCAAUUGCGAGCAAUAAUGCGCCCAAUUUGGAGACAGAUGAUGAAGCAAUCGAAUGUUCAUUUCGAUCUUUAGAAUUUGUUAAUGCAACCUUCAUCGCUGAGGGAAGCAAGAUUCUGGUGCCAAAAUUGUCUAAAACCACGAGGAUGAGCCUCCAGUUGACAAUUGGAAAAGGAGCCCUACCCAGAAGAGGACUUGGAAGAUAUCUACAAGGAAAGGUUGAAACGCCAAUGCUGAAGGACAAGAGAGACCGCUUCGGCUUAGGAUUCAAGCCAGAUGUGAAACAAAGGAGAAGAGAGCUAGAAAAGAAGCAAGAAAAAAGGAGAGCACGGUUGACCGGGGGAGGAAUCAAAUGGGAACCAAUGAUAUUCCCCCACAUAUCGAAAACUUUUGUGUCUAGAGGAAUCAUUCAUCCCGAGCGGGGUACGCUCAAAAAGGAAGCCAUAGAAGAAAGGCUGGAAAGCUUGGACAUCAACGCCACAUACGAAGAGGAGACUGGGGGAGAAAAUUUAUCGGGCAUUUGCCCUUACACAUUUGGAAGUGUUCUGGACAACUGAACUGCGGAAGAGAUUCCUGUAGUUUUUAGAACUGGUUCAGAGUAAUGUCCAAAACAUACUUAUUGCUCUAGGCCUAGGAGUAAUAAGAAUCUUUUGUGAAAUAGGCUGAUGUUUAAAAAACGUUAUUUCAAUAAAAUGCAUGGUUAUUAUCAUCCUUUCAAUUUCAUUCAUAAUCAUACAAAUGAUUACUUUCGGAUUAUUUUAUUCUCGAAACAUUUUUCUAAAUAUUCUUUCAUUCGUCAUUCAUAAUCAUACCACACGAAUAAAUGUUUCGAAUUCUUUUGAUUCUUUGUAUCUGCCUUCAUCCUCAUAACAGGUCCCCAGAUAUCAAUGAUACGAGUGACACUACUAGCAACUCAGAGUUUCUUUUUGAGCGAAAUGUGUGUAUGGAGGAUUCUUAAGAUUUUGAGGAUGACCAAGGCAACCUAUCUCCCGAUUUGUUGAGAAUGGUAGAACAAGACGAGAAACAAAUCCUAUCUUACAAAGAAUCAGUUGAAAUUGUGAGCUUAGGAGAGAGGCAAGGGGUGAAGAUCGGAACGUGUACCACCAUAGAAAUAAAGCGAGACCUCAUUGAAUUACUUCAGGAAUUCAAAGAUGUCUUCGCAUGGUCAUACCAAGAUAUGCCUGGGUUGGACACUAAUAUCGUCGUGCACCGACUCCUCAUAAAGGAGGAAUGUAAGCCAGUUCAGCAAAAACUCCGAAGAAUGAGGCCCGGCAUCUUGCUAAAAAUAAAAGAGGAGGUUCGAAAGUAGUUCUUCGCUGGAUUCUUGAAUGUGGUAAAAUACUCAGAUUGGGUAGCCAACAUCGUUCCAGUCCCUAAGAUGGAUGGAAAAGUGCGAAUGUGUGUGGAUUACAGGGAUUUGAACAAAGCCAGCCCGAAGGACAAUUUCCCACUGCCUCACAUUGACACCCUAGUGGACAACAUGGCGGGACACUCACUGUUUUCAUUCAUGGAUGGUUUCUCUGGAUAUAACCAGAUCAAGAUGCAUCCUGAAGAUAUGGAGAAGACCACAUUUGUGACUAUGUGGCGGACGUUCUGCUACAAAGUAAUGCCAUUUGGACUAAAAAAUGUGGGGGCUACCUAUCAAAGAGCCAUGGUAACCUUUUUUCAUGACAUGAUGCAUAAAGAGAUUGAGGUUUAUGUCGAUGAUAUGAUCGCAAAGUCUCGAACAGAGAAGGAGCACAUACAAGCCUUAAGGAAAUUGUUCUUGAGGUUGAGGAAGUUUCAGCUAAAACUCAACCCCGCCAAAUGUACCUUUGGAGCCAAGUCUGGAAAGUUGCUCGGAUUCGUGGUUAGUGUGAAAGGGAUCGAGAUCGAUCCAGACAAAGUUAAAGCCAUACAAGAGCUAUCUCCGCCGCGUACUCAAAAAGAGGUUUGAGGCUUUCUAGGAAGAUUAAAUUACGUUGCUCGGUUCAUUUCACAAUUAACUGAGAAAUGUGACCCGGUCUUUCGCCUCCUCAAGAAAUACAACCCGGGUGAAUGGGAUGAAGAAUGCCAAAGGGCUUUUGACAAGGUUAAACAGUACUUAUCCAACGCUCCGGUGCUAAUGCCACCUAACCCCGAUAAGCCAUUGAUACUGUAUUUGGCAGUACUUGAGAAUUCCAUAGGAUGCGUAUUGGGUCAGCAUGAUGAGUCAGGAAGGAAAGAAAAUGCUAUUUACUAUCUUAGUAAAAAUUUCACGGAAUGUGAGGCAAGGUAUUCACCGAUAGAGAAGCUGUGUUGUGCCCUAAUUUGGACAACCCGAAGGCUGAGGCAAUAUAUGUUGUAUCACACCACUUGGCUCAUCUCAAAAUUGGAUCCUUUAAAGUACAUGAUGGAGUCAACAGCUUUGAAUGGAAGGAUGGCUCGAUGGCAGAUUCUGCUUUUUGAAUUCGAUAUAGUCUAUGUGAACCAGAAAGCAGUAAAAGGAAGUGCAAUAGUAGAUUUUCUAGCCAGUAGAGUUUUGGAAGACUACGAGCCUUUAAACUUCGACUUCCCGAAUGAAGACCUAAUAUGUGUUGCUACCACUAAAAAAGGUGCUCUCGAAGAACUUCCUUGGAAAUUGAAUUUCGAUGGGGCGUCAAACGCUAUGGGCAAUGGAAUCAGGGCCGUCUUAGUAUCCUCAAAUGGAGAUCAUUAUCCAUUCACUAGUAAAUUGGAUUUUGAUUGUACGAAUAACAUGGCAGAAUACGAGGUCUGCAUCAUGGGAGUCCAUGCAGCCAUAGAACGCAAGAUUAAUGUGCUAGAGGUGUAUGGGGAUUUCGCGCUAGCGAUUUAUCAACUCAAGGGAGAAUGGGUGACUAGAGAUCCUAAGUUGAUCGACUAUCGAAAACUGGUCCUUGAACUGGUUAAAGAGUUUGAUGACAUUACCUUCCACUACCUUCCACGAGACAAAAAUCAGAUGGCUGAUGCUUUGGCUACCUUAGCUUCCAUGAUCAAGGUGAACAAACAAGAAUAUGUCAAACCCAUCCGAAUGAGCAUUUAUAAAAUUUCGGCCCACUGUUACAAUAUUGAAGAAAAUAAAGAGAGAGAUGAUCACCCUUAGUAUCACGAUAUAUUGCAAUACGUGAAGAAUAAUGAAUAUCUGGACCAGGCAAGCGAGAAUGACAAAAGAACUCUAAGAAGACUGGCCAUCGACUAUGUCUUAGAUGGGGAUAUAUUAUACAAAAGAAGAAAAGAUCAAGUGCUACUAAGAUGUGUAGACGCCGUAGAAGCUAAGAAAAUCUUGGAAGAAGUCCAUGAAGGUGUCUGUGGGACGCAUGCUAAUGGCUUUACAAUGGCCAGGCAAAUUAUGAGAUUCGGGUACUAUUGGUCCACCAUGGAAGGAGACUGUGUCAAUUACGCCAAGAGAUGUCAUAAAUGCCAAAUCUACGGGGACAAAAUUCAUGUGCCUCCUUCACCGCUGCAUGUCAUGGUUGCUCUAUGGCCAUUCUCGAUGUGGGGCAUGGAUGUGAUUGGACCAAUAUCGCCGAAAGCUUCCAAUGGGCAUCGGUUCAUCUUUGUGGUUAUUGAAUACUUCACCAAAUGGGUAGAAGCCGCUUCAUAUGCUAGUGUGACAAAGUCGACAGUGAGCAAGUUUCUGAAAAAGGAGAUCAUAUGUCGAUAUGGAAUGCCGGAGAAGAUUAUAUCUGACAAUGCAUUAAACUUGAACAAUAGUACGAUAGCGGAAGUCUGCAGUCAAUUCAAGAUCAGACAUCACAACUCGUCACCAUAUCGCCCAAAGAUGAAUGGGGCAGUGGAAGCGGCCAAUAAAAACAUUAAGAAAAUUGUGGGGAAGAUGACCGAAACCUACAGAGACUGGCAUGAGAAGUUACCAUUUGCCCUCUUUGCUUAUCGAACGUCAGUCAGAACCUCAACUGGGGCAACCCCUUUCUCCUUGGUCUACGGAAUGGAAGUGGUGUUGCCAAUCGAAGUUGAGAUCCCAUCUCUUCGAGUGUUGUCGGAGUUAAAGUUAGACGAAGUAGAAUGGAUCCAGUCUCGAUACGAUCAAUUGAACUUGAUUGAGGAAAAGAGGCUAAGAGCUAUCCGUCAUGGUCAGAUGUACCAAAAAUGAAUGAUGCGGGCUUAUGACAAAAAGUUUCACCCUAGAAAAUUCCACAAGGGAGACCUAGUUUUGAAAAAGAUCAUUCCCAUACAGAAAGAUUUUCGAGGAAAAUGGAUGCCUAAUUGGGAGGGGCCUUACGUGGUGAAGAAAGCUUUCUCCGGAGGAGCAUUGAUUCUAGCCGAGAUGGAUGGUAGAAACUUGCCCAAUCUUGUAAAUUCAGAUUCUGUCAAAAAGUAUUUCACUUUAAAAAAAAGAGGCCAAGGUGAAAACCCGCAAAGGGCGUUUUUUUAAUAAAAAAAAAAACCAAAAAAUUUUGGAGAGGCUAAGGUGAAAACCAGCAAAGGGCACUUUGAGACCAAAGGGUUUUUGACUUGAAAACCCGUAAACAGGUAGCUCAAAUUUUGAAUGUGGGAUAUAUGGUAGUCUUGCCCGCCCAAAAUCAAUAAGAGGGAAGAACAGUACACCUUGGGGCAUCAACAAAAUGCGCUUGAUCUCUGAAACACACAUUUAGCUCGAAGGAGCCUUUGAGAAAUUAAAAUAGUGAAGCUCGUGCUGCGAUAUCUGGGGCACCUUUUUCCUCAUUUUAUUUUGAGCCUUACUAUAUUUGCUAUCCUGUUUAAUGUAUUCACUUCAAGUUUUGCUCAAUAAAAUUCCAUCUUGUCCAUUAUGAUAAUCUCUUUCGAGCAUUUUUUUGAAAUCACGAUUUUUGGAAUUAUAACAUUCACAUAAAAAAAAGGUUACGCAUAUUACUCUGGAAAGUUUCUAAAUAGUACAAGGACCUGAAACAGGGCCACUAGGCAGAAUUAACCAGACUCAAAAGUGGGAAACAUUAGAAAAAGAAUAGUUCAAGUUGUGACUAUUUCUUUGAAUCUUCUAUCAAAGAUAACGGCGAAACAGCAAGAGGCGAUAGUGUAUCAAUGAUAGAACCCGGAUAAACUAUGAGCAACGAUACCUUAAACAUUUAAAAAGAAAUCAUUCUUAUGACAUUUCUGCAUUCAUAUAAUGACACAUCUAGUUAGGAGCAUUUGAUUCAUUUCGAUCAUAACAUCCUAAUUAUUUGACAUAAAUCAUCACAUUUAGUUAGGAGCAUUUGAUUUAUUUCAAUCAUAGCAUCCUAAUUAUUUGGCAUAAGCAUAGAUACAUGAAACUAAUUUUACAGAUCAUGUUCCUCAAAGGACAGUGCAGUGGAAUCAUUGAAUUCACAAGUCUUAACCCCCUAAGCAGUGGGGCAACAAGCUAAAAAUUGUAAAUCUUGUUUCCCUAAGAUUGCAGUGGAGCAGAUCGAAGAUGGCGAAUCUAGGUUUCCUGAUGUUGUAGCGAAGCAGAUUUAAGCCACCAUCUUAGCUCCCUAAAGUUGUAAUGGAGUAGGUUGAAGAUUGUAGAUCUUGUUUCCCUGAGAUUGCAGUGGAGCAGGUCGAAGACAGCGGAUCUAGGCUUCCUGAUAUUGCAGUGAAGCAGAUUUAAGCCACCAUCCUAGCUCCCUAAAGUUGUAAUGGAGUAGGCUGAAGAUUGUAGAUCUUGUUUCCCUGAGAUUGCAGUGGAGCAGAUCGAAGACGGCGGAUCUAAGUUUCCUGAUGUUGCAACGAAGCAGAUUUAAGUCACCACCCUAGCUCCCUAAAAUUGUAGUGGAGUAGACCCAAGAUUGUAGACCUCGUCUCCAGUGGAGCAGAUCAAAGAAAACAAGACUCAACACCCUAAGUAGUAGGGACACAGGCCGAAGAUUACAGGAUCUCGUCUCCUUGAUGUUGCAGUGGAGCAAGAUCAAAAUCACGAUCCUUAUCUCUUUCAAGUUGCAGUAGAGCAGGAUAAAAAACACGUGAACCAUGUCUCCCUGAAGUUGCAGUGGAGCAUAUUAAAGCUACUUGAAAAAAAGAAGCACCAAGAAGUCGAGACUCAGCAGAUCUCGGUAAAAUUGGCCCAUUUAUAGUCUUUGCUCUAUUUUUGUUACCCGAAAAUGAGCAAAGAGGGGCAGUUGUAAUGGGCCAAAUUUUCACGGCCCGUAUAAAGACAAGAAACAAAACGAAAAUACAAAAAAAAAAUCACAAAAAAAUAUGUAUACCACAGUCCAGGUCUUUGGUACAAAGCAGCCCAAAUACAUUAACCCUAGCCCGAUACCCAUCAUGAGCCCAAAUUGAAACAAGCCCAAUAGGCCCAUUCCCUUAACAGCUCCAGAAACCUUAGGUCCCCCCCUCUUUUCGUUUUGUGCCACAACCAAGAAGCAGUCCCAUACCUCCACAGCCCUCGUACGCCACGCCUGCACCCCGUACGCAUGCCAAUAGACUCUGUACCUGCAAGAAGGAAACAAAAACAGCAGCGAAUGGAAACAAGUAUAUUGUAUUUCUUUAGUUUAUUUCCUUUUUCGGCUAUAAAAGCCCAGCUUUUAAUCUUUGUAAAGGAAGAGAGGAGAAGAAGAGGAAAGCAUUUUGUUUCACGAAUACACAACAG
rnacentral:lncRNA from 1 species